rnacentral:lncRNA from 1 species
UUAGGAGAAAGAUUAACGGAUGACCUUUUGAAGAAGGCUUACACAACAGGCCAUCUCAGGAUGUCAUGGCUCAGCUCAAAAGUCCCCAGGUGGUUGAUAUCAAAGAAUGCCAUUGUUUCUGGGCUUGGUCUCCUUGGCAUCAAACAAGAUAAUGUUGACUCUAUUAAAGGGGAAAUAAGGGCAACUAAAGCGCGAAGAAAGAGGAUAGUCCGGAGGAAGGUGACUGCAUAAAUUUGUUGGAGUUAAUGUAGUCAAUUGCCCAAUUUUGCUGCCUGUCGAAGAGACACAUCAUGGAAGUCCUCAUCAAACUCUGAGACACCUAAGAAAUAGUAGGAGGUGGUGGUACUCGCCUGGGGUUAAUUUCCUGGCAAGUAUAGUUCACUGAUAGAGGGAAUCUUCUCUUGAUGUGUAAAUACCGUAUGUGAUACAAUGUCGUGUAUAUUCUAAUUUUCCUUGAGUUAAAUUCUAGUCAGUUAGGAAAGUUAAUUUUGUUUUCGCUAUGGAUUGUUUCCUAGAUAAAAAUAGUUUCCAUGUUCCUUUGGGGUCUUAUUAACUCUCUGUAACCCAGUUCAAGUUUGCAAAUUCUAUUUCAGAUUUCUCAUAUAGUGUGCCUUUGUCACUUCUGUGAUACACUUUUGAUCACAAGUUUCCAUUUGAAGUAGCCAAUAUUCUUUAUAGACUAAUUAUCUAAGGAUUAUUUUAUCCAAAAAAUCAAAACUUUAAUUAAUUGAUCAUAACUUAACUUAGCUCUUGUUUGAUAUUACUAGCUGUUGUGAGAAAAAAAAAAUAACAGAAAGUUGACAAUGUGCAGUAAAUGUAUGACUUUUAAAUAAUAAUUUAAUAAAAUUAAUAAAGAUAUUAUAAGUUUUUUAAUAAUAAAGUAUGAGAUCAAAUCAAAUUAAAUUUUAAGUCAAAAUAGCAAAUAUUUACUUAAAUUGUUUAAUUAUGUAGCUUAAAAGGUAUAGUUGUCCAACCUCAACACAAUAUCGAGAUUUACCGAACUCUACCCGACUUUAGUUGUACUGACUCGAUCAUGCAAGUCCACACUCGACGCGUUGACCAUACAAGAUGUUACUCAACUUUAACAAAUCUUACUCAAACUUUGCACGUUCGACAUGCCGGAUGGAAAAUGACAGUAUAUGAUAGUAAUAGAAUAUUAUAAGAAUAGUUAUAACAUGAUUAUACUUAGUACUAGUUUAUAUUUUAUGUGAUGUAUGUAGUAUAUGAAUGGAUUAUAUUACAAAUUUUAUUGUUAUAAUAAUUAAAAUUUUGAAUUAUUUUAUUAUUGAAAAAAUGUAAUAUGUUAAAUAAUAAUAACAGUUAUUUUUAUUAAGUAUUUUUUUAUGUAAUGAAUUAUACUUUUAAAAUAAAAUAAAAAAUUCUUAUUACUGAACUGAUAAAAAAUUAAUUAUUUGAGUUAUCUCCUAAACUACUUAACUCACGACAUAAAGUCACUUAGUUUAAAACGAAGCGGUGAGUUUUACGUGGGAGCCACGUCCUUUCCACAUCAACCUCAACAUCCAAACAUGAAAUUGGACUAAAAAUAGUUCUUUCCAAUGUAUUUGCGUAACCUCCUCCCACUAAACGCAAAUAUGUAUUCUUGAGUGCAUAAUUACUAACAUAAUUUUCUCCCUUUGCCAUAUUGUCGACGUUGAGUGCAUGUAAUCUACAAGUUUGAUUGAGCAGAAGAUGACGUUGUCACAAAGGCCUGGACACCAUACCUCGAACCCAUCCCUUUUUUUGUUCGAAAGAAAAGAAUGAUAUGUUGGUAUGAAAUUAUGUUAAAAUGAAUAUAUCACCUUUUUUUUCUUUUUUUGCGUGAGUGAUGGCUUUGUUUACUGACAGUUGACAGACAACGAGUUAUCUUUUAAUUUUGAUUUUGAUUUAGAUUUAAUACAAAAUAUUAAUUUUUGUAGUUUCGGUAGAUGAAAUUUCGAAUCAAAUAUUAAUAUUGUUAAAGUACGCAACCCAAUAUUUGCUUAAAUUACAAAAAAGAUUAAUUGCUUUGCAUAAAAAAAAAAAGUGAUCACUUGAUUUAACUUCCUUUACUAAAUUUACGAUUUAAAAUUCAAAAUAAAAAAAAAGGAAAACAAAUUUUGGAGACACACUCGGAGUUUUAAAUUGAUAUGAAAAAAGAGUUUAUUAUUGAUUAUCUUUUUCCCAAAAUUUAAGCUAAGACAGCAAUAUGUCCAAAAUACACUCCACAUUAUCCUAAAACUUUAUGAACUCCCCCGUUCCUCUCAACAUCAUCUCUUCCAAAUCUUUCUCCCCCCAAAAAACCAGCCAUGGCUUCAUAUUUAGUUAUCUCAACACUCCAUUAUUGGCUUGUAAACAGUAGCGGCUCGACCUCUAGGCAACUUAGGCGGUUGCAUAGGACUCCACUUUAUAUGAAAGCCCUACGAGAUGAUUAUUUUGUAUAUAAAAGAGGAAAAUGAAUUUAAAAGUCAUUAUUAUUAAUUUAAUUUAUUAUUAUUUUGUAAUUAUCUUUUUUAAAAUAAACUAUCAAAUUCCUAUAAAGUUUAUUUAAUAUAGUACUUAAUUGUUUAAUUUCUACAAAACCAAUAAAUUAAUAGUUUCAAUCUUAAAAAUUCUCUAUUUCAUUGUUAGAAUUAAUAAGUUAUAUUUCAAAAGUUUUAUAUUUAUUUUAAACCUCUAUAAAAGCCCCACAUUUUAUUACUUAUCCAUUAAAUUUUUCCUCCAACAAUCAAGACAUCUUGGUGUUUGAGUGAAAGAGAGAGGGAAAAAAAUCUUGCUUCGUGCCUGUUUGGUAUGACAUAUUUAAGAGCCAUAAGUGCUUAUUUAAUUAUAUAAGCACUUUUUAAAAUUUUUUAUGGUGUUUGGUUAUUUUUUUAGUAGAGUUUUUUUAACUUAAAUAAGCUAAUUUACCUCUACUAGCAAAAGCUCAAAAUUUGAGCUUUUGGAAGUAGAGGUUAUAGAGCUUUUCUAAAAAUAUAUAAUAUAAAAAAUAUUACACAGUUUAAUGAUUCAAAAGUACUUUUUUUAUUGACAACCAAACACCGAAUGACUUUUUGUCCAAAAGCUCUAUUGGUAUAAGCUCUACUGCUAUAAGCUCUAUUGUUAUAAGCUCUAUUUAAUAAGAUGUACCAAACAGAGCCUUCCUCUACUUUCUACUCUAGAAGAAAAAGAAAAAAAUCUAAUAGUUUUCUCUAUUUUCUAUGACUAUUGGUCGUUACUCAAAUUUUAAAACAAUAGCCUUAAUAUAAACAUAAGUUAAUUUAUGAUUUCAUCUCAAAUUUCUGAUUUUAUAUUUUUAUUAUUCUCUUAAUUAGUUGUGUUGUUAUUUGUUCUUAUUUCUUUUUAAUAUAUUCUUUUAUUCAUCUACUUUUUUUUGUGAUUGUUUUAUCUAUUUUGAAAUAAAACUAUAUCAAAAAACUUUAGACAAUAGAAGAAUAGAAAAAUUAGUUUAAUUUAGAAAAAAAAGUAAAAAAGAUAUAAUUUAACUUAAAAAAAUAAGUGGAAAUGUUAUAAUUGAAUUAAAAUUUUAUGAAUUAACAACAAUAAAAUAAAUUUUUAUUUAAUAAUUUUACAUUUUAAAGUCUUUAAAGAAUUAAUUUUAAUAAAUAAUAUAUAUAUAUAUAUAUAUAUAAGUUACUUAUCUCUCCAUCCUCACUUACCUCUCCCUCACAUUCAUCCUCUACCACACAUCAACACCAACAUCAACAUCAACACCAACAUCAGCAUCACUACCAUCAUCACCUCUCAUUGGACCCCACAUCCUCAAGCCCAUCACAGCCGUCCAUAACCUCACCCUCCUCCUCCUCUCCCUCAUCAUGGCCGUUGGUUGCCCUCUCUCCAUCAUCCUCCACUUACCCCACCUCCGUUACACCCUCCGUUUCCUCCUUACCAUUUCUCCGUCUGGCAUGGCCUAAUUCCGACGGAAUCAACGACGGUCGUGAUGGGUUUUGGCUGCGAUUAUUCGCGCUUCAAACGGCGGCGUUUCGAUUGGUUUUUGGCGACAGUGACGGUGGGAAAGUGAUGGCUGGCUCAGGAGCUUUCGUUGCUACCAUCCAUGGACGGUGAGGUGGCGGAAAAUCGGAGAUAUGUCUGGGUCGGGUUUUCCGGGUCAGUUUGACAGCUUCCUCUAUCCCUCUCCCCCAUAAAACAUUACCCAGCUUCCUCUUAUUAUUAUUAUUAUUUUUCACAUACGUUACAGAACAUUAAUGAGAGAUGUUUAGUAAGGACUAUAUUGAUAUUUCGAUGAGUAGUAAAAAUUAAUGUUAAAAUUUUAUAGACGAGUGUAUAGUAAGAUGCUCAAAGUAUUAGAACAUACAUAAAUAAUCCCAGCUCUAAUAAAUUUUAUCCCUUCAGCAAAACAUAUCGAUAAAGUAUACAAAAGCACAAGGCAUGAGUACAUGUCAAUAACAAAUGAAAGUAAUUAAGAUAAAGAAUAUGCUUUAUUUCCUUUUAUUUUCGUUUUUUUUUUUGGUGUCUUUUGAAAGGAGACCAACUAGAUCAUGCAAGAAGUUAAUUUUUUUUUUAAAUAAAAAAGGGAGAAAUGAUGGUCUUACAAAGUUCCAAUAUAAAGUUUAUAAUAUAAAAUUAAUGAUGUGACAAUUAAACUAAUGGAGUAAGAAGUCCCAAAUAGAUUAUAUUUUGCUAAAGAAGUCAAUUCUACCAAGAAUACCUCUUUCUAUUGAAUUUAAAUGAUGAUUAUUUUUUUAUAUCAUAAAAGCUAAAAUAAUUGUGUGAGUAAUUUGAUUCUUUUACACUAUAAAAAUAAAUUCAGAAAAUGUUAGGGCAUGUUCUGUAUUUUAUUUUUAAAUUCAUAUUAUGAGAAUGAAAAUGGUGUUUUCAAGUUUAUAAAAUUUCAAUUGAAAUAUGUGUUUGUUAUUAUUUUAUUUAUCAUAUAUUUUCAAAAUGAUAAAAUAAUGGAUGUAUUAAGCAAUUUUACUACAUGCAAAUUAUUAUCUGUGUUUAAAGUUCAUAUAAAGCUUGUUUAUUUUUCAACAUACCAACUUCCAAUAAUAAUAAUAAAAUUUUUGUGAUAUCCAAUAUUAACUUUUUAAAUUAAUUAUUUUUUGUUAAUGUGUCCGCUGUUCAAUCGAUCUUCCUACUUUCUAUGCUUGAGAUUAGAUCAUUUGCUUCAAAGAUUCGAACUGGACUUAUAGUAGGAAAAAGAAUUUUCUUCAAUAUGAACUCUAAUUCUCUUUUUUUAUAUAUAUAUAUAUAUAAAAUCUAAUUCUCCUUUCAACAUUUUAACAUUUUGAUGAAAUAAAAAAUUAUUGGCGAAAGAUUACAUGCUUCCUUACAUUAGAGAACCAAACACUCAGAUAGGUAGUGUAAAUCUCUACUGAUCGUUGGUGAUUUUAUCAAAAUAAAAUUCAAUAAAAUGUAUAAGCACACUUAAAUCCGUCCAAAAAAACAUAAAUGACCCAGCAAAUAAAGAAAAGUACUGUGAAGUAAAAAUUGAAAAGUACAAUCCGUCGAUCAUUUGAUACGUAUUUUUCUUCACAGAACCUCAAUUCAAUAGACAAAAGCUCCUCUUAAUUUUUCUUUUCUAUUUAAAUAAAAGAACAAACGAAAUUGAUUACGGAGCCAUUAAUUUCCAAGAAUUAAUAAAUGAAAAGGCCCAUAAUUUUUGUUAACCCACCCCACUCUCAAGAAAUAAUUACAAUAAGUUCAAAUUAUUUUUUAAAAAUUGAAAUAAAGAAGAUGUAAUUACAAUAAGUUUGGAGAUUGAAUCAAAUAAAAUAAAAUACCUAAACUAUUAUAAACAAGAACUCUUGAUUCUUGGGGUAUUUUAGUCAUUUUAUAUUAUCAUGGUAAAUUAGUCAAAUAAAACUUAUCUUAAAGCAACCUAAAUGGUCAAAGACACCUAAGUUAAAAAAAAAAUUAUAUGAAUGAUUUAAUUUAUUGAUUGUCUAUACGUUUUAUUGAUAUAUAUAUUUUAAAAAUAGUAUGAACGUAUUACAAUUAUUUUCUGACAGCAAAGUAGAUUUGUAAAAUAAGUGGGUAGAAAAUAUCCCCGUCCUCAAACAAAUAAAUGAAUUAUCGGUGAUGCAUGCUUUUUUCCAACUUUUGUUUUUUUUUUCUUUUGGUUUUUUGUUUUUGUUUUAAAUGGCAUUGGCCCGACCACUACAAAUUAAUUAGAGAAUAUUUACAAUUAUGUAUCACAGCUGUGGAGUAGAAUCAGGGAAAUUAAAAAUGCCAAAAUUAUUGACGCGUGGGUUAGGCGACAAUAACCAUAAACAUUUUUCAUGUAGUGUAAGAAGAAUGCAACAACUCGUUUCUUUCGGUAUUUUUGCAACAAAAGUACGUUGAACAACUUCCCGGAGCAGCUGAACUCCUUUGCUGCUUGUGACUUACCAUAAAUCUUCAAGCCAUUCAAGCUGUGCUUGAAGAUGCAGAGAAGGCAAGUUGAUAUAAGAUGGUUGCAUGGAAUAAGCAGGGUAUCUUCCGAGGCUAGAAAUUGGGCUACGAGUAUUCGUUUUGGACAUAUAAUAUAGUUUCCAAGCUUGCGAUGAGUCGAACCAAAUGCAGAACAACCUAGGCUGUUAUGCCCUGCGAUUGAGCUAAAAAUUUCACUUCUUUUAUAGUCGUUUUUCAGUUUUAAGAUAUUUUUUUAUUUUUCUUGAUUCUUCUAGAAUUUUUAUCAUUUUUUCUAGAUGUUGGAUUUAAGUGCCAUCUAUUUUCUUUCUCUUAUUUAGAUUCGAAGAAUUUUAUUAUCAUAUAAUAUUUUGAAUUUGCUUAGUUUGUUAAAUUUGCUAUAUUUAGGCUCCUAUAAAUGGGAUUCAAAACCCUAAUUUUGUUCAUUCAAAUUAUUCUCAAUAAAACUUAUUAUUCAAAUACUAGUUUAUAUUAUCUAAUAGCUUUUUAGUGUUUCUGCAUCAUCAGCUGGUAUCAGAGCAAGUUCACUUGUCAUCAUGGUGCGACCACACAAUCAAAGGAGCAACCAUCCUGGAGACGAUGUUCAAAUAUUAGGUUAUCUCUUGUAAGCCAUAUUCAUAAAUGUAUUGAGGGAAAGAUACUUUUUUCUUGUCUUAAAUGAUGUGUGGGAUGGACGUUAUAAUUAAUGGGAACCAUUCUUCUGUUGUUUAAAGAAUGGUCUCUACGAUAGUCAAAUUUUGAUUACUGCACGUAAUCAGUUAGUAGCAAGCAUGAUGAGAUCAACAAAUCUUACCUUUCUUAAGGAAUUAAUUGAAGAAGAAUGUUGGUAAUUGUUUAAGCAGGUAGCAUUUUUUGGUCAAUUCUUCAAGGAUCAUGAUCAAUCGAUCAAAAAGUUGCAUGCAAGUGCAAAGGUUUGCCUUUUGUUGCAAAGAUAAUAGGGAAAUUCUUACACUAUAAAUGACCAAUAGAAGAAUAGAAAAGAAUUUUAGAUAGUGGAAUGUGGAAGGUAGAAGAGUUUGGGAAAGGUCUUUUGACUCCUUUGUUGUUAAGUUAUAAUGAUUUAUCGUCCAUAGUAAAACAAUAUUUCUCACAUUGGGCUAUCUUUUCAAAAGGUUACAAUAUGUGUAAAGAGGAACUAAUUACACUAUGGAUGGCUCAAAGUUACUUUAAAUGUAGAAGAAGGCAUUGUCUAAAGCAUGGUCUCCAUGAAAGUAAAAAUUUGGUUUCCACACGUAAUGAGUCAGUUGCAUGUAUGAUGGGAUCAAAAAAUAUUAUCUUCAUUGAGCAAUUGACUGAAGAGGAAUGUUGGUUGUUGUUCAAGCAGUUAGCAUUUUCCGGUCGCUCUUUGGAGGAUGGUGAAAAAUUAGAACCAAUCGGACGAAAAAUUGCACGCAAGUGCAAAGGCCUGCCUCUUGCUGCAAGGUAACAGGGAAUUUAUAGGGGAUGAUAAAUGCAUAUAUAGUGGCCAAGUCGCUCAUUACAUUUCAUCUCUCAUACGAAUAUGAUUUUGAAUUUGAAUUUCCAUGAAUAAUUGUCGGGCUGGUGCAGAUAUUCUUAAAAGGGCAUUAAGCUACCUCAUGAAAUUGGAAAGUUAUCAUUGCUUGAAUGAAAGCACCAUCUUCUGUUGUCAAGGCUUUCCCCACACGAUGAGAUUCUGUGCUUGUUAUCGGCCCCUUAAUUAUUUAUUAAAUCAGGUUUUUAUUAUCAAGUACAUCAUCUUAUUCACCAUUUUGGCUAUAUAUAAAGAUUAAAAUUUCUAACAGUUGUUUUGGAUUCUUGUGUAAUCAGAUAAUUGGGGCAAAUGUCAGAAUGAGGAUUGUUCAGUGCUACUGGUACGGCAAUGAUGGUGAUGGUGAGGAAGAUUGUUCGCAAGCCAAAUUGAGCCCUCCAUUUUGUGAAAUAACAUCCUCAAAUUUGAAUUGUUGAGCACAUGAAGUGAUGCUAAAGCCUUAAUAAUAGGACCUUCCAAUGAAAGUUUCAUUUGAGUGAAUUAUGGGAGAAUGAAACUUCUUGGAGUGAGUGAGAAAUUAAGCAUAUAUCAGCGAUUAGUGAAUGUUUUUCUUUAACAUUAGUACACUCUUAUUUCUUAGUAAAAUUCUCUUCACGUCGUUGACUGUGACGUAGACCAAAAGCUGAACAAUGUAAAAUUAUAUUGUUAUUUCCUUAUGCUUGUUUUGCUAUAUAUCAUUUCUGUGCAAUCAAGAAUGUAAUUUUGUAAUUAUUCAACUCUGCUUCCGCAAACAUGCGGUAUCUUGCAGAUUUUUUUCUCCCUUUUUCUUUCUGCGUUAAAACUGCAACAAAUGGAAGUGACUGGCUUGAUCUUAGCUCCUGUAAAAAAGUGCUUGGGACAAUGUCUUUUGUAUCAGCAAGUUAUCGAACAUCAUAAUUUAAAUAUAGAAUCCUGAGUUGCUAUCGAAAAUUCCAGGUGUUUCACUUCUCAGUUUCUUAAAAGCUACAAAUCUUGAUAUAUAUUGACAAAGCAAACCGUCCGUGGGCUGAAAUGCUUCCACGGAUCAGGAAGGAAUUUGGUGUUGACACUGUAUGUUAUGCGGAUAACUACAGUUGAUGAUUUUUACCCAAAAUUUGUCACAGUUGACAAUUCACUUACAGUGUUUCCUUGUGUUAUCAGGCUCUCAUCUGUGAAUUGAAAGAUUAAGAAAGAUUGAUUCUAACUGACUUAUGCAAUUGAAGAUUAUGAAAAAGCAUUUGCACUAAAGUUCCCAGCUUGUUUAAUUUCUGUGAAGAGGCACAUUCAUUCUGAGUACUUGAGUUUUAGAUUUCCAAGAUGUGUAAUUUUAGUUGCCAUUGAAAUAUUUAGUCGCUCAUUCUUAAAAAUCUGUUCUAAUUUUCCUGUUAUUUUGGGCCAUAAACAGCUUAACAAGUCUGCAUGUGGUUUCUAAAGAUUGAUGGUUAUGAUAAAUUGGAAGAUGCUCUAAAUAUAACAAAAGUAUAUUUCUACUUGUGGUCAAUUUACAUUUGUUUCUUGUGUCAUUAUGCAGAUUAAUUUAUUCGAAUUUAUCCUAUCUCAUUCAUUUAUUUUAGACAAAGUUUGAAAAAAAAAAAUUAUAAGUAUACAAUUUCCAAUGGAUUUGAUAGAGCGGUCAUCAACCAUAUUGAUGUUAUUGGAGUAGCACUGUUCUUAAGCACUGCUUUGAGGUCUCUCCCUCUCUAUAUACAUUGAUAGUCUAUUCUGGUCGUACCAAAUUAUCCUUGUUUUAAUGUUUUGUUUGUUAAACUUUGACUGGGGAAUCUGUUUAUUUGUCUGAUAAGAGGUUAGUGUGGUUUCUAUUGAAGUGUGUAGAUCUAUCACCAAGUAUUAUUUCAAUUUUUCUUUACUUAAUCAACUUGCAUCCUUUCCAAGUCCAGAUCCUUAACAAUAGUGAGACUUCGCUACAGAAGUACAAUUUCUCUAGUUUGACAGUUAAAUACGUAAGAAUGGUUUUAAAUUAACUGAACUCUGAGAUAGUUCUCUAAGGAAAUACAAGUAGUGAAUACCGUUCCAACUUUUAACUGCCUUAAUAUAUCCAUUUGUUCAGCCCUGUGCAUAAAAAAUCAGUAAUUGCCGUCCAAAUUCUUCUUUACUGCCUAUAUGUGUUGGACUUUGUCUAUUCUUCAACUUCUCAAAUGGAUUUUUUGAAUGUCCAAUUAGGAGAAAGAUCAAGGCUUGCUUGGCUACGAGUGGAAGCGGAUCCGCUACUUCAAUCAUAUGACCUUUUGAAGAAGGCUUACAACGGGGCGGCUCAGGAUGUCAAUGGCUCAACUCAAAAGUCCCCAAAGUGGUUGAUAUCAAAGAAUGCCAUUGUCUCUGGGCUUGGGCUCCUUGGCAUCAAACAAGGGAAUGUCGACUCUGUUGAAGGGGAAGCAAGGGCUCCUAAAGUGCGAAGAAAGAGGAUAGUCCGGAAGAAGGUGACCGCAUAAAUUUCUUGGGAGUUAAUCCUAGUCAAUAGCCCAAUUUUGCUGCCUGUCGAAGAGAUACAACACGGAAGUCGUCAUCAAACUCUUUUGAGACAUCUAAGAACUAGUAGGGAGGUGUUUCCAGGCAAGUAUAGUUCACUGAUAGAGGGAUUCUUUUCUUGAUGUCUAAAUACUAUAUGUGAUACAACGUCGUAUAUUCCAAUUUUUCUCCAGUUAAAUUCUAGUAAGUUAGAAAAGUUAAUUUUGUUCUAGCGAUGAAUUGUUUUGUUAGGCAGUGUUUACUUUCUGGAGUGAGAGUGAGGAGUGUGGAUUCCUCCCAUUCCAAUGUUUACUUCAACAAAAUAGGUAGGGAUUGGGAAUCCCACUCCGUGGGCCCCACCCAUUUUUGGAGUGGGGAGUGGGAGUGGGAGUCCACUCCCACCUCUCCCUUUUCUACCCUUUAUUUUUAAUUUAAUUUAAUAAAAUAAAAUAAUUUAUAAUUAUAUUUAUUUAGAUAAUAUUAUUAUAUUUAACUAAAUAAUAAUUUACAUUGAUUAUAAGUUAAAAUUACUUAAAAUAAUAAUAUUAUAUUAAUAGAUAAUUAAUAAAUAUAUGCUAUCUUUAUUUAAUAAUAUAAUAUUAUUAUAUUUAUUUUAAAAAUAAUAUUACUAUAUUUAUUUAAUAUUAAUAAUAAUAAAUAGUUCAUUCUAAGAAAAUAUUAAUUUUUUACUAAAUAAUAUUAUAUUAAUAAAUUUAAUAUAAUUAUAUAAAAUAAAAUAAUGUUUCAUUUUAUAUUUACCCUUCUUUUUAUUAAAUUUACUAUAACUAUAUUUAAUAAAUAUUUAAAUAAUAUUAUUAUAUUUAACUAAAUAAUAAUUGGGUUUGAUUCUAAGUUUAAUUUACUUAAAAUAAUAUUAUUAUAUUAAUAGAGAAUUAAUAAUAUUACUAUAUACAAUCUUUAUUUGAAAAUAUAAUAUUGUUAUAUUUAUUUAAAAUAAUAGUAUUGUAUUUAUUUAAUAUUAAUAAUUAAUACUAAUAAAUAGUUUAUUCUAAGAAAAUAUUAAUUUCAUACUAUGUUAAUAGUAAAAAUAUUUCAUUUAUAUUGCCCUUAUCAACAAUUUUUAAUUUAUAUAAUUAAAAUUAAAAAACUUGUGAUGUUCAUAAUUAAGAAUAUUAAUAAUUAUUAUAAAUUUACAAAUAUAAUAAAAUAAAUGUUUAUUCAUUAAAUAUAUUUUAUAUUAACUUUGUAAUUAAAAACUAUAAUUCUUUACAUAAGGAUAAAAUUGUAAUUUGAGACUAUUUACUCCCAAUCAAAGACAAAGUAAACACAUAAAUUGGAUUAUGAUCUCCAUUCCAGUGCAAGUAAACAACCUACUCCCACUCCCACUCCAUACUCCCAAUCCUAGGAUUCACACUCCUCAGGAUUCCCACUCCAAUCCAAAAAAUAAACGCUACCUUAAUAACAAUAAUUGCAUGUUGCUUUGGAAUCUUAUUCACUCUCUGCAACCCAGUUAAAUUGUGCAAAUUCUACUGUAGAUUUGUCAGAGUGUCUUUGUGAUUUCUUUGAUACAAUUUUGAUCGCAAAUUUCAGUUUGAAGAAUCAUGUAAUACCAAAAAACCAUAACAUGUAAUUACUUGAUCAUACUCGACUUCCUAUUUAGUACUACCGUGUUGUUAGGGAUGGCAAUGGGCACCGCCCGCAGCGGGUUUGCCAUUACCAAACCCAAACCCGCACAAAAUUUAAAUUACCAAACCCACCCGCAACCCGCAGCGGAUUUUAAUUUUUUUACAAAAACCCACCCGCAGCGGGUUUUAACAAUUACCAAACCCGCAAUGGUGUCUGGCGGAUUUUUUGUGGGUUUCCGUAUUUAAAAUCACAAAUGUUUAAUAUAUAAAUUUAUAAUAAUAACCUCAAAUUUCAUAUAACAUACUCAAUUUUAUAUUUAAACAAUGUAAAUGAAAAAUUAAAAUUUCCACAUCAAUUCAACACAAAUUCUCAAAUUUAAGUAUAAAUUACACAAAUCCAUUUUAAAAACUCAAACUAGUAUCUAAAAAUAAUAAUUACAUUUCAUAUUAUCAUUUAAAACAAGCUCCAAGAGAAGAUAUUCAUUUCAUUCACCACCAUAAGCACCCAUCCAACACAAUGCCUAUAAUAAUAAUUAAGAUUAAUAUUUUCAAAUACUAAUUCGAAGGAAAAUGCCUUUAGUUGUUUUUAGAUUAUGACUUUAGAAUAGGAGAUAGGCCACAUAUACACAUACACAACGUUGAGCCUUUGGCUAUUUGGUAAUUUGAUUAAUGACAUUAUUUUCUUUAUACAUUUUUAGAUUAAAAUUAAAUUAAAAAUAUUUGGAAAAAAUAUUGCGGGUUUUGUGGAUAUCCAUGCGGGUAUCCACCAGAUAUAAGGUUAAUACCAAACCCACCUGCAUCCAUGUGUGGGUUUUAAUUUAUAAUACUAAACCCGCCCGCAACGGGUAAAAUUACCCGCAAUGGGCGGGUUUUGGCGGGUGGGUUUGGGCGGGUUUGUGGGUUUGCGGGUACAAUUGCCAUCCCUACGUGUUGUAGUUAUAGUUAUUGUGAAAAAGGAACUGAAACUAUAAUAUAAAUGUUGAUCUUGUUUGUAUAUAUGAUUUUUAAAUAAUAAUUUUGGUAAAAUUAAUAAAUGUAUUAUUGAUUUUUUUAUACUCCCAACUUAAUUUUUAAGUCACAAUAAUAAAUAUUUAUUAAAUACUUUGAUACUAUAACUUUAAAACUAUGCUCCGCGGCACUCUUAUCUAAUUUUAAUUGUACUUUCUAGCUCGAUUAUAGAAAUCCUUACUCGAUGUACUUUACCAUACAAGAUGUUACUUUACUUAAUCUUACUCGACUUUAAUUGCAUAUUUUAUAACGAAUUUUUUUUAAAAAAAUUGGUCCCGAUUCCAGCAAAACAGUAACUUCCAUUCAAAAGGGUUCCACGUUGAGUGCAUGUAAUCUGCACAAGUUUGAGAAGAAAUAACCAAAAAAAAAAGAAACCCACGUCCAAAGAUGCCGUUGAAACAAAGGCCUAGACACUGUAUCCCAUCCCCUUUUACCAUAUUUUAUAAUUAAAGAGGCCGUCAUUGAAUUCAAAAAUUAUGAUCCAAAAUCCAAAAAUAGAAGAAGAAUUGGAAACAUACUCGGAGUUUUAAAUUGAUAUGAGAAAAGAAUUUAUCAUUUUUUUAACAAAAAUUUAAGCUAAGACGAAAAAAUAUGCCUAAAACACCCCUCACAUUAUCCCAAAAUUUCUAAACUCCGCCAUUCCUCUGACCAUCAUCUCUCCCAAAUCAAUCUUCCCCCAAAACCAGCCAUGGCUUCAAAUUCAAUCAGCUUAACACUCCAAUAUUGCUUGUAAGCCACCCACAAGUCCUCAACUUCACAUGGACUCAAGACCAAACCCUAGCUUCCUUCCGACACAUCCUCAUUCACUCCAUCAUUACUUACCUCUCCCUCACAUCCAUCCUCUACCACACAUCAACAUCAACAUCACCAUCAUCAUCACCUCUCAUUGGACCCCACAUCCUCAGACCCAUCACAGCCAUCCAUAACAUUUUUCAUUUUGAUGCUGAAUUAUCAUUUCACGGGAUUUGGUUUCCCUGGGUUUUGGGGUUGGUGCUUCAAUACUGUGUUUAAUGCUUCCCUUUUGGCCCUUUUUGUUAAUUUUCAUUACAAGAGCUUUGCUAAGAAAAGAAGCAGAGAUGAUCAAAACAACUAGUAGUUAUCCUUGUUUUGUGUUUUCUUUUUUAAUUUAUUUGAUUUUGGUUAAUUAUGAAUGGUGGUAAUGGGUUCAUUGCCAUUGACAGAGAUGUUUCCAGUUGCCUAAACUUUGUUUUUUUCAAUUUUGGUAGUACGUGUAAUUUGUCACCACAUUUGUUUAGUCUCUCCCUUUCAAAUUCCCUCUCACACAAAAAAAUUCGGAUUUGUAUUUUGUAAACUAACAUUUUUCAUUUUGUUAAUAAAUUAAUUAUUAUUAUCUACAUUUAUGUGAUAGGACACAUGCCACAUCAAUUAAUAUUAGAUCAUGAAUUUUUGCAACCCCAGCAAAAAAAAUUUAUGAAAGAUGUUUAGGUAAGGAUUAUUUUGGUCUUCUAAAGAGUAGAUUAAAAAUCAAUGUUCAAAGUAUUAGAACAUAAAUAAUCCCAGCUUUAAUAAAAUUUUGCCACAUAAUGAUUCUUAUCUCUCAAGAGAAACAUAUAAAUAAAAUGUACAAAGUUAGAAAUAUAGAAUGCAUUAGUACAUGUCAAUAACAAGACCAAUUAGAUCAUGGCAUUACUUAAUUUUAUUUUUAUUUUUUGCUUCUUUUGAAACAAGAUCAAUUAGUUAGAUCAUUGAAAAAGAAGCAGUCAUACAAAGUUUGAAUAUAAAAUUUAUAAUCUAAAAUUAAUGAUGUGACAAUUAACAUGUUAUUAACCUAGCUAAUAGAGUAGGAAGUCCCAAAUACACCAUCUUCUGCUACAGAAAUCAAUCCUACCUAGAAUACUUCUUUUUAUUGAAAUUUAUGAUGAUUUGUUUGUUUGCAUCAUGAAAGUUAAAAAUAAUUUUGUGAGUAAUUUGAUUCUUUACGGUACAAAAAAUAAAUUCGGAAAGUAUUAAUUUCUCUCAUACUUUUAGGGCUAAAAAAUAAAAGUAAGUCUAAUAUAUUUAUUAGUUAAUGAUUAUAUAUCAAUCAUCUCUCAUACUUUUCGAUCUGAUCCAAUCCAAUCUGAAUAUUCUAGCCUAAUCAACCCGAAACCCAAUCAAGUUGAUCUGAACACAAAUUUACCCACUCCUAGCGGGGAUCAUGACCCUACAAGCUUUGAAAAAUUUUGAGGUUUCGAAGUGAAAUAUUAAAAAUUAGGUAUAAAAAGACUGAUUUGGCCCCUAAGCAAUUAAUUUGAGAAUGUUACAUUUUCCAUUUCUCUUUUUGUCGUGACAUAAUAGACUAAAACGGAAUCACAUACUUCUUCAAAUGCCCAAAUGGCUUUGGCCUAAUAAAGUUAUAUAUUGACUGUGGACUAAAACAGAGCCACAACUUUUUCGAAUGACCAAAUGAAUUAAUGAGACAAUGGCGUUUGCCUACCUUGAUAACAAAAGUCGUCGGCCAUAAUCCAUAUAGACAAAAAAAUGGUCCAUACGUUAAGGUUAAAUUGAAAAAUAUAAUAAAUAAAUUUCAUUUGUGAUGAAAUUCGUAAUGGAUUUAUUACUUAGUUAUCUUUCACAUAUUUUCUCUAUAAUAUCAUAUAAGUUAUAGACCACAGCAUGAUAUUUAUUGCAAUUAAAAUCAUUGUGAAACUGAUUUUAUUCUUUUUUUUCUUCUCAAACAAAGUAUCUAGCUAAUUGCAGAUGUAAUAAAUUACUAAUUAACAUUAUUUUAUCUGAAAAAUAUAAUAAAUAAAUUGUCAGGAGAUGAUUUUAUCUGAAAUUUCACUUGCACGGUCCAGGCCACAUACAAAUUUGUGCUGAAAUUCAUAAUGGAUUAAUAUGAUUGGGCGAAAUUACUCUAUAUAUCAUUUCAUCAAUAUCUAUUAAACGAUAAAAAAUUUAUUGAUAUUUAUAAUAAAAAAAAUCUAUCCACUAAGUCUAUUCUAGAUCAACAAUUAAUAUAUUAUAUAUAACUUCAAAAGGUUCAUCGGUGGAUUGAUCUAAGCCUUUUGUUGUAGUUUAUAAAUAUUUUGUUGCUUAUAAUGUAAGAAAUUUUACAGGAGCUGAUGCUGAGUAGUCUGAAUAAGAAAAUUAAUUAUAUUGUAAGAUACUGGGUAUUCAUGAUAAAAUAAAUAAAUAAAAAAUGAAUAAAAAUUUAAAUCCUUAAUUAAUUUUUAUCAAAUUCUUAUCAAAUAUUUAAAAAAGUAUAUAAAAUCAAUUAAUUGAUGGUAUUAUUAAUUUUCAUGAUUAAUAUUAAAUAUAAAUAAACAAUAAUGACAUAAAUUAAAGUCUCAUAAAUGGAUAACUUUUUUUUCCUUAAUCUUAUCCCAAGUCCCAACUAAAGGAAUGUGUAAAUUAGGAUUAUUAAUCCCAUAAUUUUAAGAUUAAACUUAAAUUUAGUCCCUUAGUCCAAUUCAAUUAAGCUUACCAAAUUUGAUAUAAAUAUAUAAUCACAAAAUUAGUCCAAUUCCAUACUUAAUCCUAGUAUCCGACCAUGGCCUGAUAAAAUAGUUUAGGUAAUAUACUUUUAUGACUAGGGUUGGUAGAAAAGCCCGGGCCGGCCUAGGCCCGCAGGCUUUAAGCCCGACCCGUGGUUUGAAAUUAUGGAUAAAGGCUCGUAAUUAAUGAAGCCCAUAACAUAUGGGCUCAGUUAAGGGUCUAAAUGAAAAGCCUGGGCUUAAGCCCAGGCUUUAUAAUAAAUAAUAUAUAUAUAUAUAUAUUUUAAAAAAAAUUGUAUAAUAUAUUAUGAAAUUGAAAUUAAAAAAAAAAUUUAAACAAAACAAUAAAAAAAAUCGGGCAAAGGGCAAAGGUUUUGUCACAACUCACAAAAUCCCUAAAUCGGUAAAUCAAAAUAUCAAAUUAUUCGUGUUUCGUGAGCACCAUUUCGUGAGCAGUGAGCACCUGACAAAAUCUCACUCACUGUCACGGCGUCACCGUGCCGGCGUCUCACUGUUCUCGCCACCGGCAGCCAACAGUAGAGCAUCUCUAGAUUCCAGCAGCGUCGUCCAGCCAGCAUCAGCCAUCAGCGACCCACCUUCCAGCAGCAGUAGCAGCGAGCAUCUCCCGCGUAAGGCCAAUCCCACCGCCCAGCCACCCACCGUCCAGCCACCCAGCAAGGCAGCAACAGCAUCUCCCGCGUGUCGCAGGCUCGCAGCAGUGCCUCCCAGCAAUUUCCAUCAACAUUGGUAAGCAUUUUUUUGUGUCCUCACUCCUCAGUUUCUUGAUCUUUUCUUUGUCCCUUUCAGUGAUCUGGGUAAUGCUGCAUUUGAUCUUUUCAAAGUGGACUCUUUUUGAUCUGUUUGUUGUUCUAAAUUUUGUAAUUUUUUAUAUGGGUUUCGGCCAGUGGAGGAUUUGAUUUGAUUUUUUAUAUGGGUUUCGGCUCAUUUUCUUUAAAGCUUGUAAGUGUUUGUAGGUUGUUAAGAGGAUUUCAAUAGUUAAAGUAGAAAGAUUUGAUUUGUUAGUGAUUGAGAUGAUACCGGUUUCAAUAGUUAAAGGCUGUUAAGAGGAUUCCAAUGAUAUAGAAUUUAUUUCCUGUCUUCAAUUGCAGAGUGUUUAUAUUUCUCAAUACUGUUUAAUUUCCAUAUUCAUAUUAUUUUUCUCAGCCUGUACUAAGGUGAUGUCUCCAUUGUAUAGAUACUGACAUACUGUAUGGAGUUCUGGACAUUGUAAAUUUGUUGUCCUGUCACUCCUGUGCUUGUAAAUGCAGUAUGCGUUUAGUGCAUUUACACUUAGCUUAAUUAAUUUAUUAAUUUAAUAUUUUAUCUCCUUUAAUUUUGUAUAGGUUUAUAAUGGAAAAUGUCUCUGAACCUUCUAAUUUGCCUUCAAAUCUAUCUGUGGAGUCGGAAAAUGUUCAAGAAGAAAUGCGGAGUGAUAAAAAAAGAAAACAGAGGGUUGUUUCAAAUUGUUGGGACCAUUUUACAAAACUAAAUGUUGGUAGUGUAGCAAAGGCAAAAUGCAAUCAUUGUGGAACGGUUCUUUCUUGUGGAUCGGGAACCAGUCAUUUGAAUAGACAUACUAGACAAAUUCACGGUUUUAAUCAACCGACAAAUAGUUUUAUUAAAAAAAAUUUUGAAAAUUCGUAAAAGCCCAGGCCCAGCCCUAGGCCCGGCUCGCCCAAUUUGAAUGGGCUUUGAGAGGGCCUGGACUUUUUAAACUUUAUAAGGGCCUGGUCCUGGGCUUGGCAAAGCCCGGCCCAGACCCUUAAAUUGCCAACCCUAUCUAUGACUCACAAUUUAAAUAAAUUUGAGAAUUUAUAUAAGGGAUGGAAAAUUCACAAUAAUCAUAACAUGUGCUAUCUUUUCUUCCUUUUCUUAAUUAAAUAAAAGAAAAAAAUUAAUGACAGAACCACUGCUGUGUGAUAUCGAUGAAGUCGCAUUCGCCUACCUAAUAUUGCGCAAUCAGAUAGAAAAAAGGGUCGGCUGCAUGAUUUUUCCAACUUUUGUCUUAUUUUUCUCUUUUCCACUACAAAUUAAUUUGAGAAUGUUAUAUUUUCCAAUUCUCUUUUUGUCGUGACAUAAUAGACUAAAGCGGAAUCACAUACUUUUUCAAAUGACCAAAUGGCUUUGGCCUACCUGAUAAUAAAAGGAAUGGAUCCAUACGUUAAAGCUAAAUUGAAAAAUAUAAUAAAUAAAUUGUCAGGAGAUGAUUUUAUCAAAAGUUUCACUCGCACGGUCCCGACCAAAUACAAAUUUGUGAUGAUAUUCAUAAUGAAUUUAUACAAUUAGGCGAAACUACUCUAUAUAGUUUCAUCGAUAUAUAUUAGACCAUUACAAAUAUACUAAUAUUUAUAAUAAAAAAAAUUUAUGACUAUUUUAAAUCGACUGUAUUAUAUGUGAAUUCACAAGAUUCAUAGAUAGAUUGCACUGAGCUUUUUGUUGCAGUUUACAAAUAUUUUGUUACUAAUUAUCUUAAGAGCAGCAAGUAACUAAGAAAUUUCACAAGUGCUGAUGCUGUGUACUCUGCAGAAUUAACAAUGAAUUAUUAUGAAUCAGAGAAACAGGGCAGACACUGUACAAUUAUUGACGUGGUGGAGCAGAAAGCUAGCCCCAGACAGUGACUCAUGUGGGGACUCCUUCAAUUUGCAGCACAAAAGAACGUUCACAUUGACAUUGACUUGAGGGUAAAAAUUAAAUAACUCCUAUGGUAUAAGAAGAAUGCAAACAUGCUUGAAUGAACAUUCUCACAGAAUACAUAAAACCUACUUUCCUCUGAGCAUUUUAGCAAGAAAAGCAAUUGCAUCAUUUAUCAUUUGAUCUAAUAUCAGAAUGGCUCAUGCAAUCGUUUCCUCUCUCCUGGACCAGCUGAAUUCCAUUGCUCAAGGUCAGGUGAAAGAAAAGUUGAGGCUUGUGACGGGUGUCGAACAAGAAGUGGGUAAGCUUACCACCAAUCUUCAAGCCAUUCAAGCUAUGCUGGAAGAUGCAGAGCAGAGGCAAAUGAAGCAGGACAAAGCUGUUACGUUUUGGCUGGAUCAGCUCAGAGACGCAUCCUACGACAUGGAAGAUGUGUUGGAAGAGUGGAUCACUGAAACACGGAAAUUGCAGCUUGAUGAGGGCGGCGAUGAUGAUGAUGAUGAUAACGACAAUGCUUUUGUUACUCUUUUGACGAAGGUAUGUUCCUUCUUUCCUGCUGCCUCAAACUGCUUUGGUUGUUUCAAACAACUCAGUCUUCGUCAUCAUAUUGCUGUCAAGAUUAGAGAAAUCAGUAAAAGGCUAGAUGAAAUUGCCACUCGAAAAGAUAGGUUUAAUUUUGUUGAGAAUGUGAGUAACAAUGUUAGGAAUCCAGAGCGAGUGCGAACCAUCUCCUUGAUUGAUGAGAGAGAGGUUUACGGUAGAGUUGAGGAGAAAAAUGAGCUCUUAAGCAAGUUGUUGUGUGAAAGUAGUGAACAACAAAAAGGCCUUCAUGUCAUUUCACUAGUUGGGUUGGGGGGUAUAGGUAAAACCACUCUUGCACAAUUGGCGUAUAAUAAUGAUGAGGUGAAAAUAAAUUUUGAAAAAGUUAUAUGGGUGUGUGUAUCGGACACUUUUGAUCAGAUUAGGGUUGCCAAAGCAAUCAUUGAAGAUCUAGGUGAGUCAGCUUCUGGUUUAAACGAAUUCCAAUCUCUUAUGAGCCGUAUCCAGAGUUCAAUUAAAGGAAAAAAAAAUUUUCUUGUCUUAGAUGAUGUAUGGGAUGGGGAUUACAAUGAAUGGGAACCAUUCUUCCUUUGUCUAAAAAAUGGUCUCCACGGAAGUAAAAUUUUGGUUACCACACGUAAUGAGUCAGUUGCACGUAUGAUGGGAUCAACAGAUAUUAUCUCCAUUAAGCAAUUGGCUGAAGAGGAAUGCUGGUCAUUGUUCAAGCAGUUAACAUUUUUCGGUCGUUCUUUUGAGGAUCGUGAAAAAUUAGAACCAAUGGGGCGAAAAAUUGCACACAAGUGCAAAGGCUUGCCUCUUGCUGCAAAGGUAAUAGGGAAUCUCUUGCGCUCUAAAAGUACAGUAAAAGAGUGGCAAAGAAUUUUAGAGAGUGAAAUGUGGAAAGUAGAAGAGAUUGGGCAAGGUCUUUUAGCUCCUUUGUUGUUGAGUUAUAAUGAUUUGCCCUCCAAUUCUAUGGUAAAACGGUGUUUCUCAUAUUGUGCUGUCUUUCCAAAAGACUACAAUAUGGAUAAAGAGGAAUUGAUUAAUCUGUGGAUGGCUCAAGGUUACCUUAAUGCAGAAGAAGACGAAGAGAUGGAGAUGAUUGGGGAAGAGUGUUUCAACAUUUUAGCAACACGCUCUUUCUUUCAAGAAUUUAAGAAAAAUGCUGAUGAUGAUAUUAUGAGUUGUAAGAUGCAUGACAUAGUACAUGAUUUUGCCCAAUUUGUAAGUAGCAAAGAAUGUUUGUGGGUAGAAAUUAAUGGUACCAAAGAAUCAGUCAUAAACUCUUUUGGUGACAAAGUCCGUCACUUAGGGUUAAAUUUUCAAAGAGGCACUUCAUUUCCUAUGUCCAUUCGUGGACUUGAUAGAUUGCGUACCCUCCUAAUUGAUGAUGGAAGUCUGUCUCUUAGUAGUAGCAUCCUUUCGGAGUUAUUUAGUAAAUUGGCGUGUUUAAGGGCAUUAGUUAUAAUGCAAGGUUUUCAUCCUGAGACAAGUAGGAUUAGAGAAAUUCCAAAAAAUGUCGGAAAAUUGAUACAUUUAAAAUAUCUUAAUUUGAAUAGACUAUGUAUAGAGAUACUACCUGAGACUUUGUGUGAAUUAUAUAAUUUACAAAAGCUAGAUAUUAGUUGGUGCCGAAAUCUUAGAGAAUUGCCAGCGGGGAUUGGAAAGUUAAAGAACAUGAGGAGUUUACUGAAUGAUAACACUUAUUCAUUGAAGUACAUGCCGAUAGGGAUUUCCAAAUUAACCAAUCUUCGAACAUUAAAAAAGUUUGUGGUGGGUGGAGGUGUUGAUGGUAGCAAUACGCGUAGGCUUGAAUCUCUGAAAAAUCUUCAACUCCUUCGAGAAUGUGGAAUAGAAGGGCUGGGUAAUGUGUCCCAUUUAGAUGAGGCUGAGAGGUUACAACUUUACAAUAAGAAAAACCUCCUUCGUUUGCGUCUUGUGUUUGGUGGAGUCUUACAUGGGGAAGGCGAGAAAGAUAAACAACUUCUUGAAGCCUUACAACCGCCUUUGAAUGUAGAGGAAUUAUGGAUUAUGUUCUACCGAGGCAACAUUUUUCCCAAAUGGUUGACUUUGCUAACCAAUCUAAGGAAUUUAACACUUUCCUUGUGCAUUAACUGUGAGCAUUUGCCUCCUUUGGGAAAAUUGCCUCUGGAAAAACUCAAACUAUGGAAAUUAAAAAGUGUAAAAAGAGUGGGUAAUGAGUUUUUGGGAAUAGAAGAAAGCAGUGAGGACGACCCAUCUUCAUCUUCAUCGUCAUCAUCAGUUAUUGCCUUCCCCAAAUUGAAAUCACUCGAAAUUGUAGCAUUGGAAGAAUUGGAAGAGUGGAAUUACAGGAUUACGAGGAAGGAAAACAUCUCCAUCAUGCCCCGUCUUUCUUUCUUAAAAGUUGUUUUUUGCAACAAAUUAAAGGCGCUGCCGGAUUACCUUCUUCAAACGACGGCACUGCAGGAACUGCGUAUUUUUUCUUGUGAUCUUCUAGAAGAACUGCCCAUUCUAGAAGAUCGCAGGACAACAGACAUACCACGUCUUUCUUCCUUGCGAAUUUCGGAUUGCCCCAAAUUAAAGGUGCUGCCGGAUUACCUUCUUCGGACGACGACGCUGCAGGAAUUGACAAUUUGGAGAUGUCUCAUUCUGGAAAACCGUUAUAGAGAGGGGGAAGGAGAAGACUGGUAUAAGAUAUCCCACAUUCCCCACAUCAAGUGGUCGCCGUAAGAUAUCACUCGCCGGUAAUUUCUCCUCCUCCUCUGAUUUACUUCGUUGUUGCUUGCAAUGAAAUUAAUAAAAAUAAUUAUAUUUUGAAUUAAAAUUCUAUAUAGAAUCAAUCAUGGUAUAAAUAUGUAAAACUUCCUAGUUAUCAAAUCUGUUAAACUUGUUUUCUAAAGAUUAAAUAAUUAAAAAAAAACCAAGUGUAGUAUGUUGAAAUUUCUAUAUUUUCUUUUAAAAAAUUUGUGCUCUUUUAUAAAAUUUGAUACAACAUCGUAGAAAAUCCCAAUGUAAUUUAUUUUUUAAUGUACGAAAAGUUGUUAUGUGUAACUUCCUGAGAGAAAAAAUCUCUGUGAUACAUUUGCAGUAAUGUUGAAAACUAAAUUAUCAAUUUUAUCUUGUAUAAUGAUAAUCGUAUUUUUUUAUAUAUAAUUUAUGUGACAUUAAUUCUUUAAAGUAAUUGUGUAAUUGUUUUUAGUAGUACAUUAGCCCACUUUGUUUUAUUUCAUACGAGUUUAAUUAUGUUCACCAGGGAUUCGAGGAAAUGUCAGAACCACACUAGCAAUUCACAGGUCCAAUCUAAUUUGGUUUUAAUGAUGCAGGCAGGAGAGUAUUCUAAGAAAAUGAAAAGUUUAGCCAAAGGAUUGCUAAAAUGUUCUGCUGGUAAUUCACUUGCUUUAUUUUAUAGAAUUUCAUUUCCAUCUUCUUCUAUUGAUAUCUUGUUGUGAAUAAACAAGAACAGAGAAGUAAAUGAUUGAACCACAGAGAAGUAAAGAUAUAUCCAAAUUCGAUUAUUAUGAUGAUUAAAGCAAGCUCAAGCUCACGCAUUGCAUUUUUUAUUUUAUUUAGUUUAUAGAAUUUUCAUUUCCACCUGCAUUGCAUUUUUAUUUCAUUUUUAGGUUGACGUUGAAGACUCUAUGGAAAACAUUGGGGUAACCAAGGAUUAUCACUGUGGUUAUUGUGCAACGUUUGGUUGCUGGACUUUGAAGAAGGAAGUGAUGGCCGGGUCUGCUCUGUUUCAAUUGAGGAUGGAUAGCUGCCUGAAAGACAUGAUGAUUAUUAUUGCAUGAUGUUUAGGUGCUAAGAUAAUCAUUUAUAUCUUGCUUCAUUCUUGGAAUCAUUUAUCCUAUAUAAACAUAUUGAAUUGUGCUAAUAUUAUCAAUUUUUUCACCUAAUUUUCACUGUUGUUGUGAAAAGAAUUUCAGGCUCUCAAAAGCUACAAAGCAAAGCAUUUGUGGGCUGAUCAUAUGUUUCAAUUGAGGAAGGAGCUUGGUGUUGGCAAUAUUGUCCAGGUAACCACAGCUGAUAAUUUCCACAAAUUUGCAUUGUCAGAAUACACUUUAAUGUUCAUGGUGUUCCUCUGUGUUAUCAGGUUAUCGUGGUAUGUAAAGUAUCAUCUUUAAGGAUUUGUAAUAGACUUUGCAUUAAACUUAGUUGUCACCAGCUCCUGCAAUUGCUCACUCAUUCAAGAGUACUUCAAAAUUAGAUUUUCAAGGUUUGUAUGUUUAGUUGUGAUCAAAAUGUUUAGUCACUCAUUCUUAAUCUUUUCUGAUUUUCAAGUUCUUUAGGGUCAUAAACAGUUUUCCAACUCAUUCUUAAUUUUUAGGUUGAUUUCGAGUACCAUGUUGAGGACAUUCCUGAGACCAAGGAUUAGGCUGGCGAAGGAACCACUACCUCUGUUGUUAUUGUGCAAGGUUUGAUCAUUGGACCUUGAAUAAGAAUCCCUUACACGCAUUCUGUAAUUGAAGCGUUCUCUAAAGCAACAGAGCAGUUGAAGGAAUAGUGAUGGCCGGAUCUGCUCUAUCUUAAUUGAAGAUCUCUGUGAUGUUGAGGAGCUUAAAGCAGUUGUUGCUUUUUGAUUCCUGAAGACGAGUAUCUAAUGAUUGUUAAGGCGUAUUUCAUGAACUUCCUUUCUUAACGAAUGUUUCAAUGCUGGCUGUAGUAACAAUUUCAUAUCUUGCAUCUCUCGGGUGCAUCAUGUUCACGGGUUUGAAAAAGCAUUUGUGGUAAUGCUUCAAAGCUUGUACAAUGGCUGUGAAAAGGCACAUUCAAUUAGGUACGUUUUGGUGCGGUCUCCCAAUGCUAAUAUUAUAUUUUGUAUAGCAAUUAAAAUUUAGCUAUACAAUCUUAAUAUGCAAUAAAUCAUUGUAUACAAAGUUUUCUAUUAAUUAUAUGGUGACUGAAAUUUUAAUUAUCAUAUAUCAAUUUAAAUUUUUUUGUUACUCUCUUUUACUUUGCUUGUACAGAGUACCUGUUUUGGCUGAUAUGUCUAAUUCGUAGAAAUUCAUUUCCAUCGGUUUCCAUUGGCUUUAGCACAAACCGAAACAGAUCUCUGGGGAAAAGUUUUACUUCUUGUGAUAUUAUGCCUUUGUUUCUUCAUUCAUCAUAUUUUUCGAAUUCAUGCUCUCAUUCAGAGGGUAAAGCCUUUUUGAUGCAGCGGAAGUUUAAUGUUCAAAAUAUUCCGUUGAUUCUAGAGAAUACCGGAAUAAAAGAACAACUAAAUUCACGUUGAUUCAAAAGAAUACCGCGAACUUAGGGGUUAAGACUCGUUGAUUCAGAAUACCGAGAAUUAACUAUUCAAAUACUCACAAAGAGAUUUGAAAAUUGAAAUAUUAUUGAACUCAAAAUUCUCUACUUGUAAAAGUUACAAAAGACACUUAUUUAUACUAAAUAAGACUUAUCCUAAUAUGAUUAGAAAACCUAUUUUAAUAAGACUUAUGCCUAAAUUAGGAAUAUUAUCCAAAUAAGCAAUACCUAAACAAUAAGACUCUAAAUAGGAAACCAAAUUAAACUAGAAUACAAAUUAAUUAAAAUAUUCCUAAAUAUUAUACAUUUAAAUAUAAUUAGGAUUUCUUCAAUUUCUUGCUAUGCAUCAUUCCCGCCAGGUUGGAGAAAAUUCGUCCUCGAAUUUUGUAUAUUGUAAUCUUCAAGAAUAUCUUCAUGUGCAUAAGGAUUAAUUUUUAAAACAGAGCUUUGACAUAGACGACGAACUUUAAAUUUUCCAACUUUUGUAAUAACGUCCAUCCAAUCACUCCAAUGGCGUAAAAUAAAUUCUUCUAUCAACAACUUCUCCAAUAAUGUCUUCUCAUAUUGUUCGUGUCGAACUUCAACAUAGUUAAGGAAAAAUGAUUUUUUCUUAUAAUCCACUAACUGUUGAAAAAUAUCACAACUCUUUUUGUCUUCUUUCGGCAAAUCAAGAGAACAAUAAGAGAUUGUAUCAAUAACUAUCUCUCUCUCCUCCACAAGAUCAAAAGAUGGAUAAACAAUUACCUCUUCUCGUCCCACAAUAUCAAGAUUCUCAUCAAAUUUCGGCGAUUGAUCCAAAUCAAUAUUGUCUUUGUGUUGAGGAUUUGUUGUAGACAUGAAUGGCCAAUUAAUAUUCUCCUCGGAAGGAAUAAUAUUGUCGAAAGGAACAAAGUUACAAUUUUCCUCAUUAUCUUCAUAACAAACAUCACCGUGAACAACUUCAUCAAAUCCAUAUGCAUGCUUUAUGUGUAAAGAUUUUCUAUCUCGAAUUUUCUCUAAAUCUUGAGAAAUUGAACGCAAAAUCCUCAACAUCUUAACUAAAACAUCUCUCAAGAUGAAAUCUUCACGUCGAUAUUGUGAUUUCAUGAUAUAAUUUUUUUCUUUUUUUUUUCCUAUGCUUUUUUUUGGUGUUGUUUGGGUUUUUUUUUUUUAAACUAAACGGAAAAAAACAAAAAAGGAAAAAAGGAAAGGUUUGGUGGUAGAUGGAGUUAGAUUGGUGAGACCAGGUUUUGGCUCUGAUACCAAGCUGAUGCAGCGGAAGUUUAAUGUUCAAAAUAUUCCGUUGAUUCUAGAGAAUACCGGAAUAAAAGAACAACUAAAUUCACGUUGAUUCAAAAGAAUACCGCGAACUUAGGGGUUAAGACUCGUUGAUUCAGAAUACCGAGAAUUAACUAUUCAAAUACUCACAAAGAGAUUUGAAAAUUGAAAUAUUAUUGAACUCAAAAUUCUCUACUUGUAAAAGUUACAAAAUACACUUAUUUAUACUAAAUAAGACUUAUCCUAAUAUGAUUAGAAAACCUAUUUUAAUAAGACUUAUGCCUAAAUUAGGAAUAUUACCCAAAUAAGCAAUACCUAAACAAUAAGACUCUAAAUAGGAAACCAAAUUAAACUAGAAUACAAAUUAAUUAAAAUAUUCCUAAAUAUUAUACAUUUAAAUAUAAUUAGGAUUUCUUCAAUUUCUUGCUCUGCAUCACUUUUCCAGGCUGCUUUGUAGCCAAACUUUGACGCCUUUGAUGCAUGACUGUCAUUUAGAUUUUCCAAAUAACUGUUAGAUUGGAGAAGAAUAAGAAGAUACUGUUAAAAGGGUAUUUAAUUAGCGCCCUCUGAAUUUCUUGGAGUUAAUGUAGUCAAUUGCCCAAUUUUGCUUCAAACUCUGAGACACCUAAUAAAUAGUUGGAGGUGGUGGUAUUCGCCUGGUGUUAAUUUCCUGGCAAGUAUAGUUCACAGAUAGAGGGGUUCUUUUCUUGAUGUCUAAUUACCGUAUGUGAUACAACAUCGUGUAUUCCAAUUUUUCUCCAGUUAAAUUUUAAUACGUUAGAAAAGUUAAUUUUUUUUUAGCAAUGAAUUGUUUUCUUAAUAAUAAUAAUUGCCAUGUUCCUCUGAAGUCUUAUUAAUACCAGACCACCAACUACUAGGUUCAUCUCUCGUUCACUUCCUCAGGGAAUCUCGAGGGCAUUCAUUGGCAGGUAGUCUUUCUUGUUGAGCUCCUGGAAUUACUUUUAAUUUAUCAUUUGUUGGGUUUUGCUUUUUGAUUGCUUUGGGAUUUGUGUUAUUAUCGCUUUGUCGCUCAUUAAUCUUGGCUGUUUUGAAUCUGUGUUGGAUUUAGAAGUUUGGAGUUGAAAACAGUUAAAGCUUAGACUAGUAGAAGAGAUUUAUACAUUCAUUUAUCUUGGACAAAGUUUUUGGGGGAAAAAAAAAUUAUAAGUAUACACUUUCCAAUGGUUCGGUGAUGUUUGAUUGGUUUAAAGAUGUUGGAUCUCUCAUCAGAUUUCUUAUGUAUCGACUGCUGUUGCCACAGGAUGCUUGCAGAUCCUGCUUUUUUGUAUAAACUUCUACUAGAGCAGGCUGCCACAAUUGGUUGCACUGUUUUGUGGGAGUUGGAGAAUCAUAAGGAGAGGUGUGUUUUUUCUCUCAUAACAAAGGAACUCUUCCCUUCCUUUUUAUUUUCAUCUUAUAUAUUAAGCUAAUAAAUGUUUGCUUCUGUCGUGAUGGGAUAAAGCAAGAAUGGGAUCAGCUUAGUUUUGGUGCUUUCCUUGGACUAUAUGCAAACAUGAGAUAUCAGCUAUUGUGUGGAUUUGAUAGAGCGGUCAUCAACCAUUUUGAUGUUACCAGGUUAUCUCUCCCUCUCCCUCUUCUACGCAUUUGUUUAUUGAUCUACAUCUCUAUAUACAUUGAUAGACUAUUCUGGACGUACCAAAUUACCCUUGUUUUAAUGUUUUGCCUGGGGAAUCUGUUUAUUUGUCUGAUAAGAGGUUAGUGUGGUUUCUAUUGAAGUGUGUAGAUCUAUCACCAAGUAUUAUUUCAAUUUUUCUUUACUUAAUCAACUUGCAUCCUUUCCAAGUCCAGAUCCUUAACAAUAGUGCGACAUCGCUACAGAAGUACAAUUUCUCUAGUUUGACAGUUAAAUACGUAAGAAUGGUUUUAAAUUAACUGAACUCUGUGAUAGUUCUCUAAGGAAAUACAAGUGGUGAAUCCGGUUCCAACUUUUAAGUGCCUUAAUUUACCCAUUUGUUCAGCCCUGUGUGUAAACAAUCAGUAAUUGUUGUCCAAAUUAUACUUUACUGCCUAUAUGUGUUGGACUUUGUCUAUUGUUCAACUUCUCAAAUGGAUUCCAUGCAGGGUUCUUAAUGUCCAAUUAGGAGAAAGAUCAAGGCUUGCUUGGCUAGGAGUGGAAGCGGAUCCGCUACUUCAAUCAUAUGACCUUUUGAAGAAGGCUUACAACGGGGCGGCUCAGGAUGUCAAUGGCUCAACUCAAAAGUCCCCAAGGUGGUUGAUAUCAAAGAAUGCCAAUGUCUCUGGGCUUGGGCUCCUUGGCAUCAAACAAGGGAAUGUCGACUCUGUUGAAGGGGAAGCAAGGGCUCCUAAAGUGCGAAGAAAGAGGAUAGUCCGGAAGAAGGUGACCGCAUAAAUUUCUUGGGAGUUAAUCCGAGUCAAUAGCCCAAUUUUGCUGCCUGUCGAAGAGAUACAACUCGGAAGUCGUCAUCAAACUCUUUGAGACAUCUAAGAACUCGGAGGGAGGUGGUGGUAUUCAGUGUGUUUCCUGGCAAGUAUAGUGCAGUGAUAGAGGGAUUCUUUUCUUGAUGUCUAAAUACUAUAUGUGAUACAACGUCGUAUAUUCCAAUUUUUCUCCAGUUAAAUUUUAGUAAGUUAGAAAAGUUAAUUUUGUUAUAGCGAUGAAUUGUUUUCUUAACAAUAAUAAUGGCCUGUUGUUUUGGAAUCUUAUUCACUCUUGUAACCUAGUUAAAUUGUGCAAAGUCUACUGCAGAUUUGUCAAACUGAGUGUCUUUGUGAUUGUUUUGAUACACUUUUGAUCGCAAGUUCAAGUUUGAAUCAUCUUGUAAUGCCAAGAAAACCAUAGCGCUAUUAGUUACUAGAUCGCACUCGAGUUUUUGUUUGACUUUUAACUACGAGAUCAGCUUUUAGUAUUAGCUGUAGUUAUAAUAUAAACGUUAAUUAUGAAACUCUUACCAAAUUUUAGUUGUACUUUCUAGCCCGAUUGUAGAAAUCCAUACAAGAUGCUACUCAAUUUUACUUAAUCUUACUCGUCUUUGAUUUGUAAAUUUUAUGCCUAAAUUUUUGUCAACAAAUUGGUCCCAGUUCCAAGGUUCUUCAGCUUGGGUGAUCCCAGCAAAACCAUUACGUCCAUUCAAAAGGGUUCCACGUUGAGUGCACGAGAUCCACAAGUUUGAUUGGGCAGAAAUACCUGAUGAAAAACCUGAUGAAACCCACGUCCAAAGAUGCCUUUUGUUGCGGAGGCCUAGACGCGACACCCCAUCCCCUUUUACCAUAUUUUAUAAUUGAAGAGGCCAUUAUUGAAUUUAAAAAUUAUGAUUCAAAAUCCAAAAAUAGAAAAAGAAAAACAACCGUUGGAAACCACUCGAAAUUUUAAGUUGAUAUGAGAAAAGAUUUUUUCAUCAUCAUCAUUACUAUUAUUUCUUUUUAACAAAAAUUAAGCUAAGACAACAUUAUAUACCCAAAAUACCCCUCACAUUAUCCCAAACUUUCUAAACUCCCCCACUCCUCUCAACAUCAUCUCUUCCAAAUCUUUCUUCCUCCAAAAAGCAGCCAUGGCUUCAAAUUCAAUCACCUCAACACUCCAAUAUUGGCUUGUAAACCACCCCAAAAUCCUCAACUUCACAUGGACUCAAAACCAAACCCCAGCUUCCUCCCCACACUUCCUCAUUCUCUCCAUCCUCACUUACCUCUCCCUCACAUUCAUCCUCUACCACAAAUUAACGCCAACAUCACCAUCAUCAUCACCUCUCAUUGGACCCCACAUCCUCAAGCCCAUCACAGCCGUCCAUAACCUCACCCUCCUCCUCCUCUCCCUCGUCAUGGCCGUUGGUUGCACUCUCUCCAUCGUCCUCCAUUCACCCAACCUCCGUCACACCCUCUGUUUCCCCCCCACCAUUUCUGCCUCCGGUCCCCUCUUCUUCUACGCUUACAUCUUCUACCUCUCCAAAAUACUCGAAUUCCUAGACACCCUUUUGAUCAUUUUGUCAAACUCCAUCCAACGGCUCACGUUCCUCCACGUCUACCACCAUGCAACCGUCGUCGUAAUGUGCUACCUUUGGUUACAGACGAAGCAGUCUUUGUUUCCUAUCGCACUUGUCACCAAUGCAAGUGUGCACGUGAUCAUGUACGGGUACUAUCUAUUGUGUGUGAUGGGGUUGCGGCCAAAGUGGAAGAGAUUGGUCACUGACUGUCAGAUUGUUCAGUUCGUGUUUAGUUUUGUUGUUUCAGUUUUGAUGCUGUAUUAUCAUUUUGCGGGAUUUGGAUGCUCUGGGAUCUUGGGUUGGUGCUUCAAUGCUGUGUUUAAUGCUUCCCUCUUGACACUUUUUAUUAAUUUUCAUUCCAAGAGCUAUGCUAAGAAAAAGCAGGGAUGAUCAAAACAAAUCGUCGUUGUGAUUGUUCUCUGUGUGUGUUUUUUUUUUGUGGUUAAUUAUGAAUGGUUGUGAUCGGUUCAUUGCAUUUGACAGAGAUGUUGAAGGGUUAUGUACUGGAAAAUAGAAAUUAAACCAACAUUAUCACUAUAACUGGUACAUUAUUACCAUCACAGAUCAAGAUCUGAAUGGACGCAUAGCAGCCAUCCUCAAAACCAAAGGAGGAGAAAAUUGAACUAGAACAACCACCUUAAGGUGAAGAAGGCCAGAACAAGACACACAUCCUCAAAUCAUAAGGAAGAGGUGGGUGCAACCAAAAAAAAAAAAAAGAAGAAAUCAAGAAUCCACUGGAGAAGGCAAGAAAGAUUUUUGCCUCCGAAGAUUCGGUGAGGAAGAGAUGAGGAGUUUGGAGCGGAAAAGUUUUCGGAGAGAUCUGCAGAUUAGCUUUAAAAGUGUGUUUUAAAGAAAAAGUUGUUGAGAACUUGAGAGGAUACAUAUGCAAUCAAAACUUUACUCUUCAUGUUUGUGGACUAUGUGGAAUGUUUAUCCACUGAGUGUAAUCGUGACGGUUGGAUUGAGUGAUUAAAAUCACACGGCUGAUAUUAGUUGGUUCUAUGUUGGAGUUGAUCCAACAUAGCCGGAGCCUUUAAAUAAAAAACAUUACAACUCAUGCAUCCAAGCACUUAAAGUUGGCUUGAGUGCAUGGGUUGUUGUCAGUUUUCUUCCUAAUUAAAUUAGGUAGGGAUAAAAUUAUCUCUUUAUUAAUAAGAAUAAAGUAGAUAUCUCUCUCGAUUUUCCUCUUAAUUAAACUGAAUAGGAGUAAAAUUAUCUUCUAAUUAAUAAGGAUAUACUAUAUAUCUCUCUAAUAUUAUGUGAUGGUAGAAAUUUAGGUUGUACGGUAAUAGAAUUAUCAAGGAUAGUCUUGAUAGAAUUAAUGCAAAGAAUUAAGAUAAAGCCUCAAAGAUGGAACAAAGGUUAAAAAAAAAAAAAAGAGUACAAGACAAAGAAAUAAGGAAACAAAAGAAGACCAAGAAUAAAAGAAAACAUAAUUUGGAAAACAAAAAAAUGGAUUGCAAUUUUAAAUUUUGAUUAAGGAUAAAUUGUAGUGGAUGCAAUUGUUGGUAAUUUAUUAUAUUUCAAAGCUCAAAUAAGGAAUAAAAUUAUUAUUAUGAUUAUUAUUAUUUUGCAAUAACUCGUUUCAAAUUUUAAAAGAUUAUAACUUUUUGUUUUUCAACAUUUUAAUCAUAAAUUAAAAAGGAGUUACUAUUCAAGAUUCCUAAGAAUACUGAAAAAAAUGAUAAAUAUUAUUCUAAGAAAAUGAUAUAUAUUGGAUAUACUGAAAUAUUAUAAAUUAUUAAAUAUUUUACUAUUUUACCCCUUAGUUUGAUGUUUGGGGAAAAAAUACUAAAAUGGCUUUCAAUAAAAAGAAUUAUUAUUAAAAAAAUAAGAUUAAAAUUAUAACAAAUGAUAUUAAUAAGAAAGAAACUGAUAAAAAUUUGGGUUUCGAAAUAGGGGUUAAGGCUUCAGUCCUUGAAUUUCUCGACAUUUUAUAUACUUUUAAUUUUUAACCUGUCAAAUUACAUUAUUAAUGGAAUGUCAAUAAAUUUUGUGCGUUAAUUUUUGUUUUAGAUACUUUAAAAGGUAAAAUGGUAUUUUGGAUGGUAAAAGUCAACUAAUUAAUUAAAUAUUUAUAUUCCUAGGAAAUUAUUUUUUAAAUUUUCAUUGUGGUGAUAUCAUAAAAUAAAUUUGUGAUUAUCAUACUUGUUUUAUAGAUUAAGAUAUAAGUAAAAGUUAAAUUAAUCUUUCAAUGGUUUUUUUACUUUUUUUUUUCUAUAGGGAGUUAUUAUUAAUAAUUUUUUUUGUCGUCUAACUUGAAAUAUAAUAGACCUUAAGGGGCAAAAUAAAAUUAUUCUUGUUAACUCCACGAAACUAUUAAUUAGUUAGGGUUAGGGGCAUUCUCGUAUUUUUCAAGUCAACAUCAAUUAACUAUUAAAAAUAAUGGCAUUUGGCAGGUAAAUUGAAGUUUUCAUACUUUUGGAGGGUAAAUUGAAGUAUUUCAAUCUAAUAAGGGUGUGGGACGAAAUUUAACUAUAAGUAAAUUAUCCGUGAGGCAUGCUUUUUACAACUUUUGUUUUCUUCUUUUUUUUUCUUUUGAGUUUUUGUUUUUGUUUUACAUGGCAUUGGCCCGACCAGUACAAAUUAAUUUUAGAAUAUUUACAAUUAUGUACCAUAGUUGUGGAGUAGAAUCAUAGAAAUUAAAGAUGGUAAAAUUAUUGACGUGUGGGGUGGGGGAGGAUAACUAUUAACUUUUUUCAUGCAAUCUAAGAAGAAUGCAACUGCUCCUUUGAUUUGGUAUUUUCGUAACAAAAGCACACUGAACAUCUUAUCAAAUUAUUUCUCCUUUUCCUUGUCAGAAUGGCGGAUGCGAUCGCUUCCCCUCUUCUUGGGCAACUGAACUCCUUUGCUGCUUAUGAAUAAGGAUUUGAGUUCCAUUUGUCUUCCUUUUCUUAUUUAGAUUAGAAGGAUUUUAUUAUCAUAUAAUAUUUUGGAUUUGCCUAUUUUGGUAAAUUCCUAAUAUUUAUGUUUCUAUAAAAGUGGUUCAAUACCCAAUUUUGUUUGUUCAAAUUAUUCGCAAUAAAACUUAUUAUUUAAAAACCUGGUUUCUAUUAUCUAAUAGCCUUUUAAUGUUUCCUCAUCGUCAGCUGAUAUUAGAGUAAGUUCGCUUGUUAUCAUGAUGUGACCACACAAAGGAACAACCGUCCCGAAGACAUUCAAGGGAAGUAGACAACGACUGUGGAGGCAGAGCAAAGCUCAGGGAAGGCUAACCCGGGCUGCAGCCCGGGUAAGCUUUUUGAAAAAAAAAAUUAUUUAUAAUUUAUAAAUUUACUUUUAUUAGUAUUUAUAAAAAAAUAAAAACAAACCCAAUAAUUAUAGGAAUCUUUAUUUUCCCCAAAUUACAAUUCAUAAAACUCACCAGUAUCUAACUAAAUCUGAAUUUAAAAUUCACCAAAAUUCAAUUGCUCAAGUCUCUUACCGUUGCUGAAUACCCAGUCUCCUGCGCUCGAAUUGACGCCUAGCCACUGCCUCAUGAGUGACGCCGAACCACUGCCGCAAGGCCCGCACCCACAGGUUGAAUCUCUUACCGCUGAGCCGACGCCGAAUGCCCAGUCUCUUGAUGCGGCCCCUGGUACAAAGCACUUUGCCUUUUAAACUUUAGUUUAUAGAAUAUAAUAUGAUUUUAUGAUAAUGAUGGUUGGCACACGAAGUGGAAUUGUGGAAGACUGGAAGUUGUUGAUUUUGUGAACUGUGAUUCAUCUUUUUAAAAUUAUAAAAUAAUAGAAUGUGAAAAACGGUGAUGAUAGCAUAUAAAGUGGAACUGUGAAAGGUGUUGAUUCAUCUUCUUGUAAUUAUAAAAUAAUGAUGGCAUGAAAGAAUGAGUGAAUAAAAUAGUAAAACAAUUAAUUUGAAUGCUGACUUUUUUAAUUAGCUUUUAACUUGCGAUUUUGUCAAAUUUUUUAUAAAACAAAUACUAAAUUUUUAAUGUAUUUUAUUAUAGAUUCAAUGUUAAAUAAACCAAGGAAAACUCUACUUUCUUUUUUUAAGAGAGUAGGUGAAAAUCAAUCAUCCACCAAGUCUUUAUCUCCAUGUCAAGUUAAUGCUCAAGAUUCCAGUGAGCAACAUACUUCCAAGUUUCAAAGGGUUGAAGUUGAAGAAACUAGAAAUACUUAUCUGGAGUGUGAUCUUGGAUUACGUCAUCAAAUAGGGACGUAUUCAGUAAAUCAACGUGAUGAUAUUAGAAGGGAGUACAUCAAAAUGGGACCUUAUCAUCCUAAACUACGAGAUUAUCCACUAACUAAUGAUGGCAUGCAAGAACGUAGGUUUCACUGUCACUGGUUUAAAAAAUUUCCAUGGCUUGAGUACUCUGAGGUAAAAGAUAGUGCAUUUUGUUUUCCAUGCUUUCUUUUUGAUGAAAUUCCAUCAAACAACCCAAAAUUUUUUAUUGAAGGAUUUUCUAGUUGGAAGAGAGUCAACAAUGGAAAAACAUGUCCUUUUUUAUAGCAUGAAGGGGGUCCAUCUUCUCAUCAUAAUGAGAAUAUGCAGAGUUGGGGUUGUUUGAGGAACCCAAUUCAACACAUUGAUAGAUUAAUUAAUGCCCAAACUUCACAACAACUUUUGGAGAAUAGCCUACGAUUGAAGACCUCAAUUAUUGCAGUUAAAUGGUUAGCAAAGCAAGCAUGUGCUUUUAGAGGUCAUGAUGAACUAGUUAAUUCAAGAAAUCGGGGAACUUUCAUAGAGUUGAUAAAGCAUUUAGCGGAGUGUAGUAAAGAAAUUACUCAAGUUGUCUUGGAAAAUGCUCCAUCGUAUGCUAAGUAUACAUCGUCUGACAUUCAAAAAGAGCUUUUAAAUAUUCUUGCAAACAAAGUGAGAAACAAGAUACGCAAGGAACUUGGAGAUGGUAAGUUUUGUAUUUUAGUAGACGAAGCACUUGAGGAAUCAGAUAAAGAGCAAAUGGCUAUUAUUUUAAGGUAUGUGUGAUUGUGAUGGAUAUAUUCGAGAACGUUUUUUUGAAGUUGUCAAUGUCAUGGAAACUACAGCAGUAACAUUGAAAAAAGAAAUAUGUAAUGUUCUUGCACGAUAUGAUCUUUUAGUUGAAAAUAUCCGAGGGCAAGGGUAUGAUGGUGCUAGUAACAUGCGGGAUGCAUGGAAUGGAUUACAAGCAUUAUUUUUGAAAGAUUGCCCAUAUGCAUAUAAUAUACAUUGUUUUGCACAUCAACUACUUGCUUUAGUUGCAGCAUCUAAUGAUGUGCCAGAUGUAUGGCUUUUCUUUUCAGCAUUGGGUUCAAUUGUAAAUGUUCUGACUUCAUCUGCUAAAUGACUUUCUGAGUUAAAAUCUGUUUGGGAAGCAGAAAUAAUAGAUUUGAUAGCUUCAGGAGAAGUUCAAACUGGUACAGGGGCCAAUCAAAUUUAUACUUUGCAACGGCCUGGGGCUACUUGGUGGAGCUCUCAUUUCCGUUCUAUCAGUAGGUUGCUUGAUUUGUUUAGUGUUGUUCGUAACGUUCUUAGGAAGUUGGUAGAGUGUGGACCUAACAAUAGUAUACGUGGAGAGGCUAAAGGUGCAUGUGAAUCAAUGACAUCUUUUAAAUUUGUGUUCAUUUUGCAUUUAUUAAAUAAAGUUUUGGGGGUGAGUGAUUUACUUUGUCAAGCAUUACAAGUUAAAUCUCAAGAUAUUCUAAAUGCUGUGCACUUAGUCUCAACUACGAAAAAACUUCUUCAAAGGCUGCGAGACAAUGGUUGGAAAACUUUUAUUGAGAACGUAGUUUUAUUUUAUGAAAAGAAUGAGAUAGAUAUGCUUGAUAUGAAAGCUCGCCAUAUGAAAGGCAGAGGACGUUCUUGUCAGCAGAAUAAUUAUAUUAUAGUUGAGCAUUAUUAUCAUUAUGAUAUAUUUAAUACUGUGAUAGAUUUUCAAUUGAUGGAGUUGAAUAAUAGAUUUAUUAAACAGACUUUGGAACUCCUCACUCUUAGUUCAGCUUUAAAUCCUAUUGAUGCAUUUAAAUCAUUUAAAAUUGAAGAUAUUUGCAGCCUUGCUGAAAGAUUUUAUCCUGAAGAUUCACUAAGAUUGAGUUACAGGCUUUGAGAAGACAAUUAGAGUGCUUUGAGAUAGAUAUACACUCUCUUCUAGAGUUUCAGAAUAUUACUUCCCUUUCUAAACUGUGUCGAAGAUUGGUUGAGACUAGAAAGUCACGGAUUUAUUUCUUGUUGGAUAGAUUAAUUCAUUUAGUGUUAACCCUUCCUGUUUCAACAGCAACAACAGUUGAGAGCAUUUUCUGCCAUAAAACUGAUUAAGACAAUACAUUGAAACAAGAUGGAGAAUGUGUUUCUUUCAGAUUGUAUGGUUAUUUACAUGGAAAGAGAAAUUACAAACAAUAUUGACUCAGAUGCGAUAGUAGAUGAAUUUUUUUUUUGAAGAACCGCAGGACACAUCUUCAUCAAUAGUGUUUUUCUUAUUUACAUUGUAUUUUUAUAGUUUUAUGGUUAAAUUUUUGCGCUUAUGUAGUGUGCUUAAUUUCAUUUAUAUAAAACAAUUUUUUUGGGAAGUAAAUUUCAUUUUUUUUUAAAUCUAGCCCACCCAAACAAAUGAUGCUAGCUUCGCCAUUGGAGGUUAUCAGAUAGAUGGUCAAAGAAGCAAUCUUGUAAGUCAUGGAGUAUGCAUAUAAUGUAAGAAUGGCAACAGACAAAUAUCAGGUUAUCUCUUGUAAACCAUAUUGAUAAAUCUAAUGAGGGAAAGAUAUUUUUUUUUUGUCCUAGAUGACGUGUGGGAUGGAAGUUACAAUCAAUGGGAACCAUUCAUCUAUUGUUUAAAGAAUGGUCUCUACAGUAGUCAAUUUUUUGAUUACUACACAUCAUUAGAUAGUAGCAAGCAUUAUGAGAUUAACAAAUAUUAUUUUUAUUAAGGAAUUAACUGAAGAAGAAUGUUGGUCAUUGUUUAAGCAAGUAGUAUUUUUUGGUCAAUUUUUUAAGGAUAGUGACCAAAUGAUAAAAAAAAUUGCAUGCAAGGCCUGCCUCUUAUUGCAAUCCAAACUAAACUUGAAUUUUUGAUUUGAUACAAUCCAAUCUGAAUAUUCUAACCCAAUCAACCUAAAAUCCGAUUAAGUUAAUCUGAACACAAAUUUGCCCACUCCUGGCGAGGAUCAUGACCCUACAAGCUUUGAAAAAAUUUGAGGUUUCGAAGUGAAAUAUUAAAAAUUAGGUAUAAAAAAACUGAUUUGACCCCUAAGAACUUGAUAUAUAAAAGAUGCAGAGCAGAGGCAAAUGAAGCUCGACGAAGUUGUUACUGAUUGGCUGGAUGAGCUCAGAGACGCAUCCUACGACAUGGAGGAUGUGUUGGAUAAGUGGAUCACUGAAACACGGAAAUUGCAGCUUGAUGAGGGCGGCGAUGAUGACGAUGCUCUUGCUCUUGCUCCUCCUAAGAAGAAGGUAUGUUCCUUAUUUCGUGCUGCCUCAAACUACUUAGCUGGUUUCAAACAACUCAUUCUUCGUGAUGAUGUUGCUGUCAAGAUUAGCGAAAUCAGUGAAAAGCUAGAUGGUAUUGCCACUCGAAAAGAUAUGUUUAACUUUGUUGAGAAUGUGAGUAACAAUGUUAAGAAAACAGAGCAAGUGCCAACCACCUCCUUGAUUGAUGAGGGAGAGGUUUUUGGUAGAGAUGACGAGAAAAAUGAGCUGUUUGGUAAGUUGUUGGGUGAGAGUGGCGAACAACAUCCUCAUAUCAUCUCACUGGUUGGGUUAGGGGGUAUAGGUAAAACCACUCUUGCACAACUAGCCUAUAAUAAUGAUGAGGUGAAAAGAAAUUUCGAAAAAGUUAUAUGGGUGUGUGUAUCAGACACUUUUGAUGAGAUGAGGGUCGCCAAAGCAAUCAUUGAAGGUCUAGGCGAGUCAGCUUCUGGUUUAAGCCAAUUCCAAUCUCUUAUGAGCCAUAUCCAUAGAUCAAUUAAAGGAAAAAAAAAUUUAUUGUCUUAGAUGAUGUAUGGGAUGGGAAUUAUAAUAUAUGGGAUCAAUUUUUCUUUUGUCUAAAGAAUGGUCUUCCCGGAAGUAAAAUUUUGGUUACCACACGUAAUGAGUCAGUUGCAAAUAUGAUGCGAACAAUAGAGUUAGAUAUUAUCUCCAUUGAACAACUAGCUGAAGAGGAAUGCUGGUUGUUGUUCAAGCGGUUGGCAUUUUUCGGUCGCUCUUUCGAGGAUUGUGAAAAAUUAGAACCAAUCGGGCGAAAAAUUGCACGCAAGUGCAAAGGCCUGCCUCUUGCUGUAAAGGUAAUAGGGAAUCUCUUGCGCUCUAAACGUACAGUAAAAGAGGCAAAGAAUUUUAGAGAGUGAAAUGUGGAAGGUAGAAGAGAUUAGGGAAGGUCUUUUGGCUCCUUUGUUGUUGAGUUAUAACGAUUGCCCUGUAAUUCUAUGGUAAAACAGUGUUUCUCAUAUUGUGCUGUCUUUCCAAAAGACUAUAAUAUGGAUAAACAUGAAUUGAUUGAUAUGUGGAUGGCUCAAGGUUACCUUAAUGCAGAAGAAGACGAAGACAUAGAGAUGAUUGGAGAAGAGUAUUUCAACAUUUUAGCAGCACGCUCUUUCUUUCAAGAGCUUGUGAAAGAUGAUGAUAAUAAUAUUAUGAGUUGCAAGAUGCAUGACAUAGUACAUGAUUUUGCCCAAUUUGUAGGUAGAAAAGAAUGUUUGUGGCUAGAAAUUAAUGGUACCAAGGAAUCAGUCAUAAACUUUUUUGGUGAGGAAGUCCAUCACUUAAGGUUAAAGUUUGAUGGAGAUACUUCAUUUCCUAUGUCUAUUCAUGGGCUUAAUAGAUUGCGUACCCUAUUAAUUUAUGAUGAAAGUCCUUACAAUCCGUCUCUUAAUAAUAGCAUCCUUCCAGAGUUAUUUAGUAAAUUGGCGUGUUUGAGGGCAUUAGUUAUAAGGCAGUCCCCAUUUUUUUGUCCAAAGUCGUUCCUAUAUUUUCAUUCUGACAAAAAUUGGAUUAGAGAAAUUCCAGAAAAUAUUGGAAAAUUGAUGCAUUUAAAAUAUCUUAAUUUGUCUGGACUGUGUAUAAAGAGACUACCUGAGACUUUGUGCGAAUUAUAUAAUUUACAAAAGCUAGAUAUUAGGCGGUGCCGAAAUCUUAGAGAAUUGCCAGCGGGGAUUGGGAAGUUAAAGAACACGAGGAGUUUACUGAAUGGUGAAACUUAUUCGUUGAAAUACAUGCCAGUAGGGAUUUCCAAAUUAACCAGCCUUCGAACAUUAGAAAAGUUUGUUGUGGGUGGAGGUGUUGAUGGUGGCGGCACGUGUAGGCUUGAAUCUCUGAAAAAUCUUCAACUCCGUGGUAAAUGUAGUAUAGAAGGGCUGAGUAAUGUGUCACAUUUAGACGAGGCUGAGAGGUCGCAACUUUACAAUAAGAAAAACCUCCUUCGUUUGGGUCUUCAGUUUGGUGGAGACGUAGAAGGGAGGAGGAAGAACGAGAAAGAUAAACAACUUCUUGAAGCCUUACAACCGCCUUUGAAUGUAGAGGAAUUAGUGAUUGUAUUCUACGGAGGCAACAUUUUUCCCAAAUGGUUGACUUCGCUAACCAAUCUAAGGGAACUAAAACUUUCCUCGUGCGUUAACUGUGAGCAUUUGCCUCCUCUGGGAAAAUUGCCUCUGGAAAAACUCCAACUAAAGAACUUGAAAAGUGUAAAAAGAGUGGGUAAUGAGUUUUUGGGAAUAGAAGAAAGUAGUGAGGAUGACCCAUCUUCAUCUUCAUCUUCAUCUUCAUCUUCAUCGUCAUCAUCAGUUAUUGCCUUCCCCAAAUUGAAAUCACUCAAAAUUGAUGGAAUGAAAGAACUGGAAGAGUGGAAUUACAGGAUUACGAGGAAGGAAAAAAUCUCUAUCAUGCCACGUCUUUCUUCCUUGAAAAUUGGUUCUUGCAACAAAUUAAAGGCGCUGCCGGAUUACCUUCUUCAAACGACGGCACUGCAGGAACUGAGUAUUUAUUUUUGUGAUCUUCUAGAAGAACUGCCCAUUCUAGAAGAUCGCAGGACAACAGACAUACCGCGUCUUUCUUCCUUGACGAUUUGGUAUUGCCCCAAAUUAACGGUGCUGCCGGAUUACCUCCUUCGAAUGACGACGCUGCAGGAAUUGACGAUUUGGUAUUGUCCUCUUCUGGAAGAACAUUAUGGAGAGGGGAAAGGAGAAGACUGGCAUAAGAUAUCUCACAUUCCCCACAUCAAGUGGUCGCCGUAAGAUAUCACUCGCUGGUAAUUUCUCCUCCUCUGAUUUACUUUGUUGUUGCUUGCAAUGAAAUUAAUAAAAAUAAUUAUAUUUUGAAUUAAAAUUCUGUAUAUUGCCAAUGCCUGACAGGAAUAUAUAAUAUUUUCUAAUAUUUUGAUUUGCGUAUUGAAUUUAACUAUUUACUUGAACCAUUAAUUUAAUGGAUCACUCUAUGAUACUGUUACAAAAAUUAUAGAAUCAAUUAUAGUAUAAAUAUGUACUGUUAGAUUUAAUCAAUAGUUCAUAAAGUUAAAAGUUAGUUAAGAUAAUAUUUUAAUUUUAGUUAUUUAAAAUUUAAACUUCCUAGUUAUCAAAUAAGUUAAACUUGUUUUCUAAAGAUUAAAUAAUUAAAAAUACAAGUUUAGUCUGUUGAAAUUUCUGUAUUUUCUUUUAAAAUAUAUGCAGUCUUUUGUAAAAUUUCAUAUAACAUCAUAGAAAAUCCUAACGUAUUUUAUUUUUUAAUGCACGGAAAUUUGUUAUGUGUAACUUCCUGAGAGACAAAAUCUCUGUGAUACAUUUGCAGUAAUGUUGAAAACUAAAUUAUCAAUUUUAUCUUGUAUAAUGAUAAUCGUAUUUUUUUAUAUAUAAUUUAUGUGACAUUAAUUCUUUAAAGUAAUUGUGUAAUUGUUUUUACUACAUUAGCCCUCUUUGUUUUAUUAAAUACGAGUUUAAUUAUGUUCAUCAGGGAUUCGAGGAAAUGUCAGAACCACACUAGCAAUUCGCAGGUCCAAGCUAAUUUGGUUUUAAUAAUGCAGGCAGGAGAGCAAGACUAUGAAAAUGAAAAAUUUAGCCAAAGGAUUGCUAAAAUGUUUUGCUGGUAAUUCACUUGCUUUAUUUUAUAGAAUUUCAUUUCCAUCUUCUUCUAUUGAUAUCUUGUUGUGAAUAAACAAGAACAGAGAAGUAAAGAUAUAUAUGAAAAUUCCCUAUUAGGAUGAUGCUAAAGCAAGCUCAAGCUCAAGCAUUGCAUUUUUAUUUUAUUUAAUUUAUAGAAUUUUCAUUUCUACCUGCAUUGCAUUUUUGUUUCAUUUUUUGGUUGACUUUGAAAACUCUAUGGAGAACAUUGGGGUAACCAAGGAUUAGGCUGGCAGUGGAACGACUACCACUGUGGUUAUUGUGCAACGUUUUGUCUGCUCUGUUUCAAUUGAGGAUGGAUAGCUGCCUGAAAGACAUGAUGAUUAUUAUUGCAUGAUGUUAAGGUGCUAAGAUUAUCAUUUCUAUCUUUUUUCAUUCUUUGAUCGGUUUAUCCUAUAUAAACAUAUGGAAUUAUGCUAAUAUUAUCAAAAUUUCCACCCAAUUUUCACUGUUGGUUGUGAUAACAUUUUCAGGCUCUCAAAAGCUACAAAACAAAGCAUUUGUGGGCUGAUAAUUUCCACAAAUUUGCAUUGUCAGAAUGCACUGUAAUGUUCAUUGUGUUCCUAUGUGUUAUCAGGUUAUCGUGGUAUGUAAAGUAUCAUCUUUAAGGAUUUGUAAGAGACUUUGCAGUGAACUUAGUUGUCACCAGCUCCUGCAAUUGCUCAUUCAUUCAAGAGUACUUCAAAAUUAGAUUUUCAAGGUUUGUAUGUUUAGUUGCGAUCAAAACAUUUAGUCACUCAUUCUUAAUCUUUUCUGAUUUUCAAGUUCUUUAAGGCCAUAAACAGUUUUCCAACUCAUUCUUAAUUUUUAGGUUGAUUUCGAGUACCCUGUUGAGGACAUUCCUGAGACCAAGGAUUAAGCUGGCGAGGGAACUGCUACCUCUGUUGUUAUUGUGCAAGGUUUGAUCAUUGGACCUUGAAGAAGAAUGCCUUACACGCAUUCUGUAAUUCAAGCAUUUUCUAAAGGAAAAGAGCAGUAGAAGGGAUAGUGAUGGCCGGAUCUGCUCUAUUUCAGUUGAAGAUCUCUGUGAUGUCGAUGAGCUUAAAGCAGUUGAUACUUCUUGAAAAUUAUUAUUACGGAUGAACUAAUUCCUGAAGACAGGUAUCCAAAUGCGUAUUUUCUUAAACUUCCAUUUUUAACAAAUGUUCCAACACUUGCUGGAGUAACAAUUUCAUAGCUUGCAUCUCUCGGGUGCAUCAUGUUCAGGGGUUGGAAAAAGCAUUUGUGGUAAAGCUUCAAAGCUUGUAAAAUGGCUGUGAAAAGGCACAUUCAAUUCGGUAUGCUUUGGUGCAGUCUUCUAAUGCUAAUAUUAUAUUUUGUAUAGCAAUCUUAAUAUGCAAUAAAUCAUUGUGUCCAAAGUUAUCUAUUAAUUAUAUGGUGACUGAAAUUUUAAUUAUCAUAUCAAUCUUAAAAUUUUUUGUAACCCUAUUUUACUUUGCUUGUACAGAAUACCUGUUUUGGCUGAUAUGUCUAAUUCCUAGAAAUUCAUUUCCAUUGGUUUUAGCUCAAACAGAAACCGAGAGCCCUGGGAAAAAGUUUUACUUUUUGUGGUAUUAUGCUUUGUUUCUUCAUUCAUCAUAUUUGUUUUGAAUUCAUGCUCUUAUUCAGAGAGUAAAGCCUUUUCCAGGCUGCUUUGUAGCCAAAUUUUGAUGCCAUCGAUGCAUGAUUGUCAUUUAGAUUUUCCAAUUAAUUGUUAGAUUGGAGAAGAUAAAAAGAUAUUGUUCAAAGGGUAUUUAAUUAGCACCCUCUGAAUUUAGUUGCCAAUAAUGCAUUGAAAUGGUUGGGCAAAGUUAUUGUCUUAAUUAAAUUACAGGCGAUAAGAUGCUGCUUCAAUUUUGCAAGCAUCUUGUACUGCGAAGAUUCUGCCCACAUGAGAUGCUGCGAUUCUUGACAUCGGGAUAGCAGAGGUCAAAUUUUAGUAUCAAUAUAUAUCAUCUUCUUUACUGUUCUGCCUCUAAAUAUUAAACUUUAAGCAAGUUUUUUUUUGUUUAAGUUAUCAGGUUAAGGAUACUAAGCCGCUUAUUAAGGCAAAUGUCAGAAUAAAGAUUGUUCACCACACCUGGUAUGUUUGAUGGCCAGGAAGAUUAAUUGUUCGCAAGCCAAUUUGAUCAGUGUUAGAUCCCUAAUAAUAAUGCAUUGGAUUUUCAUUUUAUUUUUAGGUUGACUUUGAAGACCCUAUGGAGAACAUUAGGGUAAUCAAGGAUUAGGCUGGUGAUGGAACUACUUCCACUGUGGUGUUGUGUGCAACGUUCAGUUGCUGGACUUUGAAGAAGAAAGUGAUGGCCAGGUCUGCUCUGUUUCAAUUGAGGAUGGAUAGCUGCCUGGAAGGCAUGAUGAUUAUUAUUGCAUGAUAUUAAGGUACUAAGGUCAUCAUUUCUAUCUUGUUUUUUUCUUUGAUCGGUUUAUCCUCUAUAAGCAAAUUCAAUUAUGCUAAUAUUACCAUUUUUUCACCCAAUUUUCACCGUUGGUUGUAUUAACAAUUUCAGGUACUCAAAAGCUACAGAGCACAGCACAUGUGGGCUGAUCAUAUGCUUCCAUGGAGGAAGGAAUUCGGUGUUAACACUAUUAUGCAGGUAACCGCAGUUGUUAAUUUGCACAAAUUUGCAUUGUCAGAAUGCCCUUUAAUAUUCACUGUGUUUCUUUUUGUUAUUCAGGUUACCAUGGUAUGUAGAGUAUCAUCUUUGAGGGUUUGUAAGAGCCUUUGCAGUAAAGUUACCUGCUCGAGCAAUUGCACAUUCAUCGAGUACAAUUUUGGAUUUUCAAGGUUUGUAUUUUUAGUUGUGAUUAGCAGGCUUAGUCACUCAUUCCUAAUCUUUUCUGAUUUUCAAGUUAUUUAGGUCCAUUAACAGUUUUCACACAUGUUUCAAUGCUGGUUGUAAUGACAAUUUCUCAUCUUGCAUCUCUAAGAUGCAUCACGUUUGAAACAGCUAUUGCGGUAAACUUUCAAUGCAUGUACAAUGGCCGUUAAGAGGUACAUUCAAUUCGGUACGUUUUGGUGCAGUCUUCUAAUGCUAAUAUCAUGUUGUGUAUAUUUAGUUUGCAAUUAAAACUUAGGUAUACAAUCUUAAUCUCAUAUAAAUCAUGGUGUACAAAGUUUUCUAUUAAUUAUAUGGUGACUAAAAGUUUAAUUAUCUUAAAAUUUUUUGUAACUCUCUUUUACUUUGCUUGUACAGAGUACCUGUUUUGGCUGACAUGUCUAAUUCGUAGAAAUUCAUUUUCAUGGGUUUCCAUUGGUUUGAGCGCAUACAGAAACAGAGCUUUACUUCUUGAGGUGUUAUGCCUUUGUCUCUUCAUUCACCAUAUUUGUUCGAAUACGUUGUCUCAUUAAGAAUUUAAAGCCUUUUUCUAGGCAGCUUUGUGGCCAAUUUUUUAUGCCAUCAAUGCAUGAUUGUCAUUUAGAUUUUCCAAAUAAUUGUUAGGUGGGGAAGAUAUUGUUAAAAGGGCAUUUAAUUUGCUACGUCCCCUAUGAAUUUAGUUGCCAAUAAUACAUUGAAAUUGAGAAGGCUAAUAGUUGAGGAAAGUUAUUGUCUUAAUUAAAUUACAGGUGAUAAGAUGUUGCUUGAAUUCAGCAUCUUGUAUUGCGAUGAUUUUGCCCACAUGAGGUUCUGUGAUUCUUGACAUCAGGAUAACUCAGGUCAAUUUUUUGUAUCAGCAUAUAUCAUCUUGUUUACUGUUUUGCCUUUAAAGAAUAAACUUUAGUGAAGUUGUUUUUGUUUGUGUAACUUAUCAGGUUAAGGAUACUAAGCAGCUUAUUAAGGCAAAUGUCAGAAUGAAGAUUGUUCACCACACCUGGCAUUUAUGAUGGCAAGGAAGAUUAAUUGUUCACAAGCCAAUUUGAUGAGUGUUAGAUUUUUGGCUUUAUAUAUUAUUAGAGCUCUCCCUUCUGAGAGAUAUCUCAUUAAAUUUGAGUAGAGCUCUCCCAAUAAUUGCAAGCUUUCAUUUGUUUGUAAAAUCAUCUUCUUAUAUUGAUUGUGUUUCCUUGUGUUAUCAGGUAGAGUAUCAUCUUCAAGGGUUUCAAAAAGUCUUUGCAGUAAAGUUUCAACCAAUUGCUGUGAAGAGGCAUAUUCAUUUGAGUAAUUCAGUUUCAGAUUUUCAGGGCGUGUAUGUUUAAUUAGUUUUGAUUAAAAUAUUUAGUCACUCAUUCUGAAUCUUUUCUAAUUUUCAAGUUCCGUAGGGCCACAACCAGUUUUUCAGGUCUGCAGAAACUAUCUUGAGUGUUGAGGAAUUGCGUUUGAGCACGCACAGAAACAAGGCUAAUGGAAAAGAACUUGACAGAAGAAUUAUGCUCUAAAUCUAACAAAAGUAUAUUUCUACUUCUUGUGGUUAUUUUACUUUUGUAUUUUCUGUCAUCAUUUUGAUUAAUUCAUUCGAAUUCAGACUCUCAUUAUUUAAAACCAUUUUCAGGUGGCUUGCACGCUAAUUAAGUUAACGCAGAAGCAUACUCUAGACAAAGAUGAGCAAAUUGAAGAUGAUAAAUACAUAUAUGGUGGCCAAGUCGCUCAUUACAUUUCAUCUCUCAUACGAACAUGAUUCUGAAUUUGAAUUUCCAUGAAUAAUUGUCGGGCUGGUGCAGAUAUUCUUAAAAGGGCAUUAAGCUACCUUAUGAAAUUGGAAAGUUAUCAUUGCUUGAAUGAAAGCACCAUCUUCUGUUGUCAAGGCUUUCCCCACACGAUGAGAUUCUGUGCUUGUUAUCGGCCGCUUAAUUAUUUAUUAAAUCAGGUUUUUGUUAUCAAGUACAUCAUCUUAUUCACCAUUUUGGCUAUAUAUAAAGAUUAAAAUUUCUAACAGUUGUUUUGGAUUCUUGUGUAAUCAGAUAAUUGGGGCAAAUGUCAGAAUGAGGAUUGUUCAGUGCUACUGGUACGGCAAUGAUGGUGAUGGUGAGGAAGAUUGUUCACAAGCCAAAUAGAGCACUCCAUUUUGUGAAAUAACAUCCUCAAAUUUGAAUUGUUGGGCAUAUGAAGUGAUGCUAAAGCCUUAAUAAUAGGACCUUCCAAUGAAAGUUUCAUUUGAGUGAAUUAUGGGAGAAUGAAAGUUCUUGGAGUGAGUGAGAAAUUAAGCAUAUAUCAGCGAGUAGUGAAUGUUUUUCUUUGACUGUGACGUAGACCAAAAGCUGAACAAUGUAAAAUUAUAUUGUUAUGCUUGGUUUGCUAUAUAUCAUUUCUGUGCAAUCAAGAAUGUAAUUUUGUAAUUAUUCAACUCUGCUUCCGCGAACAUGCGGUAUCUUGCAGUUUUUUUCUCCUUUUUUCUUUCUGCGUUAAAACUACAACAAAUGGAAGUGACUGGCUUGAUUUUAGCUCCUGUAAAAAAGUGCUUGGGGCAAUGUCUUUUGUAUCAGCAAGUUAUCAAACAUCAUAGUUUGAAUAUAGAAUCCUGAGUUGCUAUCGAAAAUUCCAGGUGUUUCACCUCUCAGUUUCUUAAAAGCUACAAAGCUUGAUAUAUAUUGACAAAGCAAACCGUCUGUGGGCUGAAAUGCUUCCCGGGAUCAGGAAGGAAUUUGGUGUUGACACUAUAUGUUAUGCGGAUAACUACAGUUGAUGAUUUUUACCCAAAAUUUGUCAUAGUUGACAAUUCACUUAUGCUGUGUUUACUUCACUUAUUUAGUGAAAGAUUGGGAAUCCCACUCUGUGGGCCCCAUAUAUUUUUGGAGUGGGGAGUGGGGGUGGGACUCCCAUUGGGGGAGGUGGGAGUGGGAAUCCACUCCCACCUCUUCCUUUUCUACCUUUUUUUUUUAAUUUUAAUUCAAUUUAAUAUUUUAUAAUUAAUAAAAUAAAAUAAAUAAUAUUAUAUUUAUUUGAAUAAUAUUAUUAUAUUUAACUAAAUAAUAAUUUGCAUUGAUUCUAAGUUAAAAUUAUUUUAAAAUAAUAUUAUUAUAUUAAUAGAGAAUUAAUAAAUAUAAUAUUAUUGUAUUUAUUUUAAAAAUAAUAGUACUAUAUUUAUUUAAUAUUAAUAAUAAUGAAUAGUUUAUUCUAAGAAAAUAUUAAUUUUGUACUAAAUAAUAUUAUAUUAUUAUUUUAUAUAAUAAUAAAUUUAAUAUAAUUAUAUUUAAAUUUAAUAUAAUUAUAUUAAAUAAAAUAAAAUAACGUUUCAUUUUAUAUUAGAAUUAAAAUUAAUAAAAAAUGUGAUGUUCAUAAUUAAGAAUAUUAAUAAUUAUUAUAAAUUUACAAAUAUAAUAAAAUAAAUAUUUAUUCAUUAAAUAUAUUUUUUAUUAGCUUCGUAAUUAAAAACUAUAAUUUUUUAAAUAAAGAUAAAAUUGUAAUUUGAAACUAUUUACUCUCAAUCCAAGACAAAGUAAACACAUAUAUUGGAUUCUGAUCUUCAUUCCAUACUUCCAUUCCAGUGUAAGUAAACAACUUAUUCCCACUCCCACUCCACACUCCCAAUCCUAGGAUUCACACUUCUCAGGAUUCCCACUCCAAUCCAAAAAGUAAACGCUACCUUACAGUGUUUCCUUGUGUUAUCAGGCUGUAAUGUGUGAAUUGAAAGAUUAAGAAAGAUUGAUUCUAACUAACUUAUGCAAUUGAUGAUUAUGAAAAAUCAUUUGCACUAAAGUUCCCAGCUUGUUUAAUUGCGGUGAAGAGGCACAUUCAUUCUGAGUACUUGAGUUUUAGAUUUCCAGGAUGUGUAAUUUUAGUUGCCAUUGAAAUAUUUAGUCGCUCAUUCUUAAAAAUCUGUUCUAGUUUUCCUGUUAUUUUGGGCCAUAAACAGUUUGACAAGUCUGCAUGUGGUUUCUAAAGAUUGAUGGUUAUGAUAAAUAUUGUGAGGUAUGAAAUAUUAAUUUGCUAUAAAUAUGUGUACAAAUUUUUCCUAUUACAUGGGGACUGAAAUUGUAACUUGCAGGGUCAAAAAAAAUCCUAAUUUGCUUUAGGUAUGAAAUCUUAAUUUGCUUAAGUGUCUGCAUUUGUGUACAAAGGAAAAAUAAGAAAUUCUGCUACAUGGGGACCGAAAUUUUAAUUGGCAGGGUCUUCAUCAAAUGUUUGUUAUCAAUACUGAUCCCGGAAUGUGUGGAACACGGUGAAAAGUUUUUCAUAGUUUUGUGAAGAAGGCUGAUUUAUCUGAUUCAUAGAAUUGUGAAAAGGGCAUCGGGCGGGGGACAAAAGAAGUGUUGAAAUUGAAAAGGUUAAUGGUUGAAGCAUGCAGUGUUGCAAUUAAGUUAUUAUUGUCUUGAAAUAACAGGAGAUGAUCAGAUGCUGCUUAAUGCAUGCAGUUUCUGUUGCAAUUGUAUUGGCCUGGGUUUAGGGAACUGUCAGAACUUUCAGAAGAAGAUGGAGUUUCUCAAACCAAAUAUAAGAAGAUAUCUCACAUUCCCCACAUGGUCUCAAUGCACAGGUAAGUUCUUCUCUAGCUCUGUUUUUCAUUGUUUGUUAUUUUUAAUGUAAAUAAGGAGCAGAGUUAAUCUCUUAUCUUGACCUUGCUUUGAGAAAACUGCUUUUACAUGUAUUUUUAAUUCAGAUGUCCACAAUAAUUUCAUUUUAGUUUGAGCUAAGUGAUAACUGUUGAAGGCUCACUCACUCAUUGGGAGAAGCUCCAUGACGCAGGCAGCUGGGAUUAGCUAGUGCAAUUGCUGUGAAGAGGCACAUUCAUUGGGAGAAAUUCAAUUUUAGAUUUUCUUAGUGUGUAUGUUUGGCUGCGAUUAAAAUGAUUUCUCUCGUUGUUAAUGAUUUCUGAUCAUUCAUCAUUUUGGACAGAGUUUGGAAAAAAAAAAUUAUACGUAAAUCACUUUCCAAUGGUUCAGUGAUUUUUGAUUGGUUGUAAAAUGUUGAACCUCUUUUCAGAUUUCCAAAUAACUGUUAGAUUGGAGAAGAAUAAGAAGAUAUUAUUAAAAGGAUAUUUAAUUAGCGCUCUCUGAAUUUAGUUGCCAAUAAUGCAUUGAAAUAGUUGGGGAAAGUUAUUGUCUUAAUUAAAUUACAGGUGAUAAGAUGCUGCUUCAAUUUUGCAAGCAUCUCGUAUUGUGAAGAUUUUGCCCACAUGAGAUGUCGUGAUUCUUCUGCUUCAAUACAGGUCAAAUUUUAGUAUCAAUAUAUAUCUUCUUCUUUACUGUUCUGCCUCUAAAUAUUAAACUUUAGGCAAGUUGUUUUUGUUUGUGUAAGUUAUCAGGUUAAGGAUUCUAAGCAGCUUAAUCAAAUUUGAGUAGAGAAUCUUUGAAUAGAAUUUUGUUGUGAGAGUUUCACUGUAGUGAAUUUUGGGAGCUUGAACUCACUUGAGUGAGAUAAUAUUAUCCUGGAACUCAAGUGAACUCAAGUAAGUACUAAAGCGCCUGGUUAUGGUGCUUUCAUUGGACUAUAUGCAAACAUGAGAUAUCAGCUAUUGUGUGGAUUUGAUAGAGCGGUCACCAACCAUUUUGAUGUUAUUGGAGUAGCACUGUUCUUAAGCACGGCUUUGAGGUCUCUCCGUCUUUCUUUUACGUAUUUGUCUAUUGAUCGACAUCUCUAAAUAUACAUUGAUAGACCAAAUUACUCUUGUUUUAAUGUUUUGUUUGUUGAACUUUGACUGGGUUAUUUGUUUAUUUGUCUCAUAUGAUGUUAAUGCGGUUCCUAUAAAAGUGGAUAUAGAUCUAUCACCUCAAAGUCUGAUUUCAAUUUUCCUUUACUUAAUCAACUAGCAUCCUUUCCAAGUCCAGAUACUUACCAAUAGUGAGACUUUGCUACGGAAGUACAAUUUCUCUUGUUUUACAGUUAAGUAUGUAAGAAUAGUUUCAAAUUUACAGAAUUCUGAUAUAGUUCUCUAAGGAAAUGCGGGUGGUGAAUAUGGUUCCAACUUUUAAUAGGCUUUAAUAGGCCCAUUUGUUCAGCCACAGUGAUUGCGGUCUAAAUUCUUCUUUACUGUCUAUAUGUGUUGGAGUUUGUCUAUUGUCCAACUUCUCCAAUGGAUUCCAUGCAGGGUUUUGAUGGUCUAAUUAGGAGAAAGAUCAACGGAUGACCUUUUGAAGAAGGCUUACACAACAGCCCAUCUCAGGAUGUCAUGGCUCAGCUCAAAAGUCCCCAGGUGGUUGAUACCAAGGAGUGCCAUUGUUUCUGGGCUUGGGCUCCUUGGCGUCAAACAAGAUAGUCCGGAGGAAGGUGACUGCAUAAAUUUCUUGGAGUUAAUGUAGUCAAUUGCCCAAUUUUGCUGCCUGUCGAAGAGACACAGCAUGGAAGUCGUCAUCAAACUCUGAGACACCUAAGAACUAGUAGGAGGUGGUGGUAUUCGCCUGGUGUUUCCUUGCAAGUAUGGUUCACUGAUACAGGGAUUCUUUUCU